UCAUAAGAUUUCCUCCUUCAUGAAAAUGAUUGUGAGGAAAUGCUUUCACUAAGAAAGAUUUUAAGAAGAUAGUGAUUGUAAAAUUGCAUUCUCGAAUUCGAUUAUGGUUACGGUAUCCCUUUCCAUAAUUUGAAUUGUGAGGUUUGGCAAUUAGUCUUAAUUGUUUAGACACACAUAUGAACUAUCGAAGGCAAAGGUGUAUAAGUUCAAGAAGCCUUGAUAAAAGAUUAUCAAAGCACUAAGUAUUAGAAACAUGAACUUAAGAAAUUCAAUAAGUAUUGUUUUUCUGAAAGUUAAGAUGUUUAUGAAUACAUGUCGAAGCUAGUGGGAGCAUAAGUGUUAUGUUUUAUAAUAAUCAUCAUGAUAGUGGGAGCAUAAAUGUUAUGAUUGUAUGAUUAUUAAGGCACGUAUUGCAAGUUGGCAAUAUUAAUUAUAGAAAACAAGAGUUAUACCUUGCAAAGUCGUAAGGGUUGUAAAGUUGUUUUGCUAUAAUUAAGGGAGAGAAUAUUAUGCUUCAUUUCAAAUCUAAAGGAUUAGGUUGAGAAAUGUUAAUAAAUUUAGUCAAAGGUACAUAGUGUGUUCUUAAAAUUUCGAUUAUGAUUACGACAUUCCUCUUCACAAUUCGAAUUUUGAGAACAUAGCAAAUAAAACAUUAUGCGUCGUGUCCCAUACGCUUCGGGUAUAGGAUCGAUUGCAAAUGCUUUAAUGUUUGACCAUUCUAAAAUUUUCCAAAUGUCGAGCGCAUUUAGAGGGAAAAGGGACUAGAAUUGGUUUUGACUAAAAUAAUUAAACAACUAUCAAAGGACAAUCCAAAGUUCGACGAGGAUUGGUCGCUUGUGAGUAGUUGGAAGCAUGGUAUUGGAUGGACCAUAUCGACAUUAUUAUGAAUAGAAAAGAUUCUAUUAAGAAUGAGUUGUCAUAUGGAAAUUAUGGAAAUGUUUCCAUAUUGGAUGGACCAUAUCGACAUUAUUACGAAUAGAUAAGAUUCUAUUAAGAAUGAGUUGUCAUAUGGAAAAUAUGGAAGCGUGUCCAUAUUGGGAAUUGAAUAUUGAAAAUCUAUGUCUAGAUUAGAAACUUUUAUGCAAAAGGAUGUUCAAAGGAAUGUACUUUGAGUGAGAGACAUCAUAUCUAAGGAAUUGUCUUGUAACAAUCUCCGAUAGAGGACUUUGUAAUAUCAUUGGCAAUAGUCUUUGUGACUUUGGUGCAGUGACAUUACGAAAGGAUCAUUGCAUAGAAUGUUAGAAUCUAGCAUAUUCUAUAAGUAGCAAGAAUUUGAUAUUCUUUCACUUAUGAAAAAGGAUUUGGAGUUGUGAAAUGAGAAUGAUUGGAAAUGUGUUCAAUUUGAUCUAUUUCACAAAGUAAGAACCAUAGGUAAACAUUGUGUGCAUGCUAGGAGCAUGGGACAAGUGUUGUAAUUCAAGUAAGAAGUUGAUUACCCGAAACGACAAAUAAUGAGUAAUCAAUAUGGUGAUAAAUAAAAGGUGUUUUAUUUAUACUCAAAGGUUUGAGGCCAUAUGGGAUUAGUAUUAUUCUUGUGUUUCACAUUUGCAUGUUUUGACUUCCAGAAUAAUUGAGUUUAUUAAGAAUAAUCGAAUUAUUCGAACGGGCCACAGUCGUUCAUAUGUUGGAAGUAGAUAUGAAUGAAGACUGUCGUGAAUUGGUGUGUGGAUUGUCUAAAAGAGUAUUAGACAUAAGCAAAUGUUUGCUGCAACGUUCAUGAGUGCUUAUGAAUAUGAUUUGAGCAUUGGAUUAAACCCACGCUCACUUGGAUCACUCCAUGAAUUGUAUCACGAGUGAUUGGUGAGACGAUAACAUCUUAUAUUCUUGAAACCGAGAUGUGUGAGUUGUAUCUUGCAAAUCGGUUGCACAUUGAUAAUAUGUAAACGCACUAGUAACUUGGUGUUAUAAAACAUAUUGUUGUGUGUGAUUCGGUGAGUGAGUGCAAGCAAGCAUUGUAUCAAAGUUUAUCCGUUCCUUUUAUCCAAAGUAGGAUAAAAGCGAUAUCUUUGGGCCCCUCGAUGAUUUAGUGAUGACAAACGUAAAUGCUCGGCCGGGCUAGGGCUAAUUUGAUUUGUUCAAUUAGUCAGUCGUCAUAAAUCGGAAAUCGAGAUAUAGUACAAAGAGAAUGAUUUGAAAUCAUAUCUCAUAUGAUAUCUAGAAUGGAGGAAUAUAUGAUCCCUUAUCUAAGGACACGCGUAUCUGAUAGGAUCAGAGUUGACAGCGGCUUUGGAAAGCUACGAUUGCAGAUCAGGAUCUGAAGUCAUACGCAUAAUAGUUAUUAGACUUAUCCAAGUGGGAGACUGUUGGAUUAGUGUCUAAGUCCAUAACUAUUUUGGUAUGUACUUGACCCGAUGGUGCAUGGUCCUUUUGGGUUGCCUUCACCAAAGCAACUUGAUAGGAUGAAUUAUGGAGAGAAAGGAUUAAAUAUGAUUUAUUAAUAUAUUAUGAGAAUAAUAUAUUAAAGGAGAAAUCAUAUUGUUUAAUUAAUAUUAGUCAAGAAUUAAUUGGUAAUUAGUUUUGUGACUAAAAGAGAUUAAUUAAACUUAAGGGACUGGAAUUGUAAUUAUAAGAUAAUUGCAAUUUGGGCCAUGGAUUGCCUUAUAUUAUAAGGUGGACGAAUUCUAUGGGGGAAGCCCAUAUGAAAUCGUCCAAGGCCUUAAGGAAAGGGCUCCAUGGGUUGCUUAGGGCUUAAGCAUCCAAAUUAGGGUUUCCUUGUUAGAUAACCCUAAUAGCCUCACUAUAUAUAGAACCCUUAAGGCUCAAAAACGUGGGGAACUUCUUUUCUAGGGUUAGAACACGUUUUGGGCAGCCUCCAUCCUCUCUCCUCUUCAUCCUCUUGCUUAUGGUGUUUGUGAGCCAUUAGAGGAGUGACACUUGUGACUCUAAGCCUUCCAAAGUCAAUUCAAGGAGGAAUUGGGAUUGUUAUUGCUACAUAACAAUCAAGGUAAUAUCAUAAACCUAAUUAUAUGUUAAUAUUGAUUUCCAUAUGCUAGAAUUAGGGUUUAUAGUCUUGGAUUCAAAGCAUGUACAAUAGAGAAACCUAGAUCCAAGCAUUAGGGUUUGUAUGAGCACAUAGGAUGUCUUAUGACCAAAACCCAUCAGUGGUAUCAGAGCCUAGAUUGGUUUCUAUUGUAUUGAUGCUUGAUAUGUUUGAAAAUUUCGAUUUUUUGGUUUCUGGAGGCUGGACUCGCCGAGUCCAUGGCUGAACUCGCCGAGUCCAUGCAGACUCGACGAGUCCAAGCCUGACUCGACGAGUCAACUCGUCAGAUGGAGGGUAUUUCGCGAUUUCUUGCUGUUUUUGCUUAUGGAUAGUUACCUUAUCAUAUUAGAUCAAUAUAAAUCCGAUUUUUUGAUAUAUAUGACUAUAUUUUUGAUCUAAUUGAAGAUAUUUAUCAAUUAAUAAGAUAAUUGUUUCCUUAUGUGAUAAUUGAUUAAUUAUUUUGACUAAAUUGAUAAAUUGUUUUGCAAGAAAUCAUUAAAUAAAUCAAAUAUGGAUAAUUAUGUGAUUAAAUGUUAAUUUAGAUUAUUUGUUAUUUGAUCCUUGUUGUUAUGAAAAGUUUCAUAUUUUCCCCUUUAGGUUUUAUAGUUUAAAUUUGAACCCAAAAGUUUUGUUGUUUUGAAAUUUAAAUAGUUAAAACCCUAAUGUUUUGAAAAAGGUUUCAAAACUUGCCCUCAAGUUUUGGAAUUUAAAUUUUGAUUAAAUGGUUUAAUUUUGAUGUAUAUUUAAAUUCUAAACCCUAAUGUGUUGAAAUGUUUCAAAACUUGCCCUCAAGUUUUGGAAUUUAAAAGUUGAUUAAAAGUUUAAUUAGGAAUGUUAAAUUCUAAAACUCUAGUAUAGUUUUGAAAAAGUUCAAAUCACACCCUUAUGGUUUUAUUAAUUAAUUAAGGUGUAUAAUUAAAAGAGGUUUAAUAAAUCCAUAAAAGUUUAGGUUUACAAUUUAAUUGAAUUAAAAGUAUAAUUGUUAAAUUAGACCACCUAGUAUUUUAAAAGUAUAAAAUACACCCUAUACUAUAUAUAACAUUAAAAGUCUAACAUUAUAUAUAUGUAUGAGUAAAAGUCAGUCUUACCGUUAGUAGGCCUCAUUCACGAAGCUGGUCUAUAAGGGGUGUUUAAGGAAAUUGCCUAUAAAAUGGCGAUUGAAUGGGUAUCCACUCUUACCCACCGCACUCUUGACUAGUGGAGGGUCGUUAGCCGAACGGGUAGGAUAGGACGAAACCUUCCAUUAUAAGUAUAAUGAAUUAUUAAAGUAACUAAAUGUUUUCAUAAAAUUCCCAAUCUUAGUUACUUAGGCAAAAGUGAAUUGAUGCAAUUCCAUGAAAUUACACUUUGUGCCCUUGCGAAGACGUUAGUGGAGCGUGUGUGGUUUACCGGCACACUAAAUGGUUCUAAGCAAAGGUAGCAAAGGGUGACUCAAUGUUUGUCAUAGUUCGGUGGAGCGUGUGUGGUUUACCGGCACAUCGAAUAGGUGACUGUAACAUGUGAGGGCACCAUGUAAGUUUGCAUGGUUAUUCACACCCGCUUUGUGAUCCUCGGCAUCCCAGUCACAAACAAGAGGGGCAUAUCGAGAUUUAAACAUGCCAUUGAAAGUUCAAUGAAUCUCAAAGGAUCUAGGAGUUUUCAUAGAUUUAAAACUUAAAUUUCUUUUUCGUUUUUCAUGGUGGAAAUUAGUGAAUCGUCAUUCACUUACCUUCAAAUAUUCUGCAAUUAGGGUUACGGCAUCCCUCUCCCGAGUUGUAGAAUAUUGUGUUGGGUCCUAGCCUUAGUAUCUCAUUUGGGUGAUUUACUAAGGACUCAAUCAAUCAACUAACUUGAAUUCGUUUUCUCCCGUUUUGUAGAUGUCAAAGUUCGACAACUAUGGUCUUCCCAAAUCCCGUGGAACAAGCAUUCCACAUGAAGAUGAUAUUCCACGAUUCGAUCGAGGAACAAGAAAUCAUGCUUCACUUCCUCCUCCUCCUCCAAUUAUUCUCCCUAACCCACAAGUUCAAAGGCUUGAAAAGUUCAAGAUCACUCAAGCCCUUUUGGCAAGUAAACAUAAAGAAGGAAAGUCGGUGUGUGCACACGUCCUAGGGAUGAAGUCACACAUUGAUAGGUUAAGAAUGUUGGGAUCCGUUGUCUGUGAGGAAAUGGCUGUUGAUUGGGUUCUUCAGUCACUUCCUAACUCAUAUAGUGAGUUCGUAAGAGAGUACUAUAUGAUGAACCGCGACGUGACCCUUAUAGAUCUCACCUAUAUGCUUAUUGCUGCUGAAUCAGCAAUGGUUUGGCGCAAUAGAAAAGCAAAGUUGAUUGGUGAAUCUGCCUUCAAGACCUCUAUGGAUAUAGACAAUGGCAACGAAAGACAUGCUAUGAUCGAAAAGUUUGAUCAUAAGAGAAAGGCAAUGUCUGAAGUAGUUCCAUGUCAUGUUCCAAAAGAGUCAAUUUGCUUUUAUUGCCAAGAGAAAGGGCAUUGGAGACGAAGCUGCCCCAUUUACCUAAGAGAUCUAAGAGAUGGGAGAGUCGAAACGUAUGGCUCUAAUAUAGGUAAAAUCCAUUAACUAACUCUUUUAAGCUUCUAUUCUAGAUUCUUAAUACAUAAUGUGAUAAGAUUACAAUUGAUGUUUUGUAGGAUCGAAGCAUCCCUCUCCCGAGUUGUAGAAUAUUGUGUUGGGUCCUAGCCAUGAAGGAAUGGAUUUCGAUCGCAUUUCUCGAAGAUUAGAUUCUUGAGCUACUACUUAGAGUUAGAAUUAGAUUGCUAAGAAAGAUGUAUUAGCAUAAGUUUUUCAAUGAAUUGCAUUGUAAGGACAAAUUUUUCCGCAAUAAAAUAAAUUUUGAUUUUAAAUUUUAUUUAUUUAUCCUUACAAUGGCGUGUAUGAAAAAUUGAUGUUAAAAUGUUUCUAUUAUUAGCAAUAAUGGAUUUGGUUCUUAUUAUGUUAUUUAUGGAAAGUCGAGAAUUUACCAAAUAGGGAGAGUUUCUCAUCGCCCAAGUUUCAAUUGGACAUAAACUUGGAAUCAUGCAACUUGGUUGCACGAUGAAUGAGAAAUUUCAUAUUUGGAAAUUAGACUAAUUCAUUGACAAAGUGUCAAGUGAAGGACUAGGAGAUCGAGUACACAAAGUUGCGUGUUGAUCAAGUCCACCAUAAGAGUAACAAAGAUAUUCGUCAUGAUUUACUAAAGGUUUAGUAAAUAUGAUUAUACUUACAUGAUUAGGUGUAAUUCUGAAUUGUUUAAAAGGUUUAAAUCAAUAGCAGAACGAAUAAGAAGAAUCAAGUAGGCAGAAAGAUAAAAGUUUCUCCAUUCUAAGAAGAAGGGAGAGUAGCUUUUAUGCUUUAUGAUAGGUCUUAAUGAUUAAGAACCAUAUCUCAAUUGAUCCACUAAGUGAGUCUUAGUGCAAUUGUAUGUUGGAGAAGAGGAAUCAAGGAUUGAAGAAAUGGUUAAAUCAAAAAGUCAAUCAUACUUCGUUCCAAAACAAGUCGUAGAGUUAAGAUUGUGACAAUGAGUGACAAAUAUUAAGAAGGUUUAUAACAUUCAUCAAUUGUGGAAAGUUGUGAUGUCUUGGAUAAGACAAAGACCAACUAAGACCAAAGUUAUGAAGUGUUUUGUCUUGAUAAAAGCUACACUAACUCUUGAAUAUUUAUUUGUCAAGAAAUGUUUUGACAAGAGAAUCUUAUAUGUCAAGGAGUCAGUGGGAGUCUUAAUGGUAUUGAAAGGUUUCAAGAACAAAUCAAAUAAACCUUAUCAAUCAACACUAGCACACGAGUUGAGGUUUACAACCUAUCGUGUUGACAUCAUUUUGUUUCUGUGCCAAUCCAAUCGAGCUAAUUAUGCAUGUGAGUUCUAUGAGUUCUCAUUUUGAACGCAUAAAAGGCAAAGCACCUUAAUCAAUGAAAGGUACAUUGAUAGGAAAGGGUGAGUUGCUUAACUACUUGGAAGACAUGGUGGGCAGCUGUGCUACCAUAUGGAUUGUAAUGUUAAAACAAUGUACUUGAAGUGAAUAAUGUCAGUUGUAAUAUAUUGAUGCAUGGUGAUGUUUAUAUUAUGAUUCAUGUAUAUUCAUUGUGAUGAUAUUGAAUUUAAGUCACACGAGCCCUCAGAUGUUUCCUCCAUCUGGUUUGGGGGUAUGAUAGAGUCCGACUUGGAUAAAUGCUAUGAAGUGAGUUACUUGGUUUAGGGAACCAUGUUCGAUGUAGCAUAUGAAUUUAGUCAAGAGAUCGAAGGGAAGGAGAAUCAAAGUGAUCAACAAAAGAAUCAAAAUCUUUGUUAGGACUAAGCUGCAUGUUGUUAGAAAUGCUACCUACAAGAAUAUAGCACUUUAGAACAUGAACGAAGAAAUCCUCCAUGCUAAAGUCUAACUCAAAGAGACCAGAGUCUAGCCAUUUCAUCAAACGAUGAAAGGUCAUUAGAACAUGACCUAUAUGUUUGUUACAAUAGUAAAAGUAAAGACCAUAUCUAAGGAUAAGUUAAUUUUAGAAGGAGGAAGACCCUCCAAUGGAGAUCAAAUUUAGAAGGAAGAGGAAGUGCAUGAUUGAGUACCGCCAUCAAUUAUACAAGAGUUACGAUUUUUACCUAGGAUGGAAAGGUAACGUGGAGAGUCAUUAUACAAGCCCUGGUUUGUUGAUGAUUCUAGGACAUAAUCAUCCCAAGAGGGAGAUAAUUUUAACACCUAUAGAUCCAGCUAGUCAAUUAAGAUAUUAUAAGCAAUAUAAACAAAUUUUUGAUAGAAGGUUAUUUAGGAAAAUAAACUUAACCAAAGAUAUAGUAUAUGUGACAAGGAUUCCGUACAUAUAGAGAACGCCUAAAUCUGACUUCGUGAGAGGAAGUUACGAUUUUUCUAAUAUUUUAACAUAGCAGUAUAUGGCUCAGAAACCGAAACAUAAAUCAGUCUAUUGUUAGGAAAAAACAAUCUAAACAAGAGUUGAAUAUCUCGUUAACACCUAUCCACAAUUUUGAGAGAGUGAUAAAUUUUUAACGGAGUUUGUUAAAAAUAUAACAUUAAAAAUAAAAUCAAAAUUAGCCAACAUAGUCUAAAUGAAAAUUGUAGAUCUCAUCGAUAGCUAUGUGGGGAUAUAAAAUGGAGCUCAUGCAGAGAAGAUAUACGUUUAAAAAAAAAUAAGAAUUCUCCAGCCACACUCACACACGGCGACCACAUGCAUGAUGUACAUAUGAAAUACCACAAGAAAUAGACACAUAUCACCAUAGAGAAGUUUCCAUGUCACCUCUUCUUAAAAUAUGCACGAUGCAUACAAAAUAGGUGUGCGACGUGCAGUUCAAAUUCAGCUAUAAAUAUCAGUCUAAAUUUAGUCAUUUUCUCACAACUUUUCUUCCAUAAGUCUCUAAAUUUCUUUUGUAUCUCUCAUACUUUUUACUUUCUAUUUCCCGACCCCUUCGGUGAAGCCCUCAGGUAUCAGAUAGCAAGUGAAUAGAAGCUCUCGGAUCUGAGUUCUCUCCGCAAAAUUCCCAGGCUUUUAUCAAAAUACUCCAUAAGUUAGGUUACACUAUUUUUUUUAGUGUAACUCAUAUUUAUAGUCAUAAGUCAUUAUUCUAAACCUUUAAAUAAGAUUUAUAAAUAAUUCUAAGUCAUUAUACUAAUUGAUCUAAUUAUUGGAGUGAUGUCUACACUUGAUUUAGCGAGGUGGUUAAAGUGAGAUUUCCAAAUAGUAUACUCCUAUUACCAAACGGGCCCUACCUCUGGUAUGAUCCUACUUGGUUUUUACUUACUUGAUAGAUCUUCAUGUAGAAAUUGGGAUUAGUGAGAAAUCUAGACUAUCAUUAGUCACCAAGAAUUUUAGACUAAGACUUAAUCACAUUUGAUCUAGAUCAUGUCAAAGGAAAAUUCAAGGAGUUUGGUGGAGCGUAGCCGAAUUCUCCAGUCACCUAAGUUAGGUGAGUGCAUAGUCCCUUUAUAAAACAUUAUUUUAAUACAAGUAUUAGUUAAAAUAUUUAAUAUAUGUUAGAGAGUCUAUAUAUGAACUAUAUUCUUAUUGCCUAGAAUAUAUGUUAGGAAUAUAUAUAUAUAUAUAUAUAUAUAUNGGGCAAACCAUAUAUGGUUCUAUAUAUGCUAUAGUAUAUAAAUAAUAUUAUUAUGUGAAGAUAAAUAAUAGAAGUAUUAUUUGUGAAAAAUAUAAAGAAAAUAUAAAUACUCUAUGUUAAUAUUAGGACACGGUUGCCUAAAAUAUAAUUGGUAUUUCGAGAAAAGUUCAUAAGUCGGGUAGUCUUGCCUAUUAAGGAAAUACAACUAAGUUCCAAAACAUGAUGACAGUUCAUGAGUCUACUAUGAAGACUUUAAUAUCUAAAAGAAAAGAUUAUUCAGAGACCAUGAGAAGUUUGUAACUUCGACAACUUCAAAGAUGGAAGAAGCGUUGAAUGAAGUCAUGGGCCGUAAAACCUUGAUCCUUUUUUCUAACACAACUCAUAAUUCGAAGUUCAUUGAUGCGCUUAAUAAUUUUGUUUUGAAUUAUUACACUAAAGCUAAAUUGAUGGAUAUCAUUACAAGCAAAUUUGAAACAAUCACUUCACUGAAGGAGGAUUUGGUGACAGUGAAUUGUGAACUUGUCAAGAAAGAUGAUGAGUUGUUACUUGUUGACAGUAGAAUUUUUGAAAUUCAUGAAAGGCUUGUCAAGAUUACUGAGUAGAAGGAUAUCCUUACGUUGACUAUAUUUCAAAGCUUUUUGAUGCGAAGCUUCAACCCUUAUACACCAAAUUAUCAUUUAUUAAGGGUGUUCCAAGUAGAAGUGCUACGUUCUAACAAGGAGGAGAUGGAGUUGGGGUGAAUAUUAAUAUUGUGAAUCCAUAGGUUGUUCCUAAUAUGCAAAAGAAGCCUAAGAUCGCUAGAAAGAUUUUUCUCAAUCAUUAACCAUUGAAAAAGAAAUAGGAAGGGAUUAACCAUUGAACAUAAUUUAUGGUAAUAUCUUAAAAGAAGAACUAAAGUAAAAUAACAUUAACUGUUGAUGGUAAGAAUAUGAACUUUUGUUUGUGACUAAUAUAUUAACAACUUCGAUUAUCUUCUAAAACGAUUGUUUUUUUCCCGUUUGUAACUUCUAUCGAAAUGAACUAGUUAUAGUAUUUACUUUUUGUUUCAAUGACUGAGAUUUACUUUGUAAUAACUAAACAAAAACAUAGCAUAAUUAGUUACCCGGUCCCGGAACCGGAACUGCAUGUUUCAUGACUGAUUUCAAAAAAUUAAUAAUUGCAUAGAUUGGUUCUGAUUCUAACUUCACCGAAACCACCAGUUCAUGUUCCGGUUCCGACGAAAUGAGGCGGGUACCCACCUAUGCUCAUCCCUAUUAUUGAAAUAUAUAGUAUGCUCAAGAAUCAUAUGAAAGUAAUAUUUCUAAUUAACAAAUGAUACUAAUGAGUCGAGUUACAACAACUUGAUAUAGUUGAUUAUUUAUUAGAAAUUUAUUUCAAUAAAUAUUUAGUAAACUCUUAUAAUCAAUUGGAAAUUUUUUAGUUCAUGGAAAUAUUAAUUUUCAUUAGCAUGUAACAUAAUAUAUCAUAUGAUAUGAUUUAUUUAGUCAUGUGCAUUAUUUUGGACUAGAAAUACUUUUUUGCCUUUUAGCUAAAAGUUAAAGUUUAUAUCUUAUAAAGAGUUAUAAGAAGUUUACAAAGUUCUCUUCACUUUUUAUAAGAAAAAAAGGAGCUAGUUUCUAGGACACAAGACAUGGUAUUUUGAAUAUUAUAAAGGAAAGUAAGCAAGGAUUAAGAGGCAUGGGAGACAUGUGUGAUUCGGAUAUGGAGUGCUUAAACUCUUGGGUAAUGAUUUAGCUUUAUGAAGGCUUUCAAUCAUUCAUUUUUUUAUUCACCAAAACCAUAGGUUCCUCAUACUCUCUCAUAUUCUCCCUUGCAAAGAAGUGUUAGAAGAUUAACUACUUGAAUUGUUAGAAGAUCACUAGCAUCUACAUCAAGUUGGCUUCAUCAUGGAUAUGGACUACAAAGGUGGUUAUUUCUUCAUCUUUGUCUUUGGUGCUUGUUUGCUUUCUAAAGUUUUCAAGAAGAUCCAUUGUUGGUUAUAAACUUAUUUUAUGGUAUUCAAAAUCAAAGUCUCCAGUUGCUAAAUCUUUUGUUUUUGAAACUAAAUUUUGAAUAAAUACCCAACAAUUGGUAUUUAUUCAAAAAACUUAGUUUUUGGAAAAUAUGGAUAACUUGUGUUUUUAAGAAAAUGAGUUCAUACAUAUAAUAAUUGUUAUUUUUUAUUUGACAAAAGUUUCGUGCAUCUUUUAUCAUUUAAAGUUAUCUUAGAAAAACAAAGGUUGUUUUAUAUGUAUGUUGAUAUGUAGGAUGUCUAUAAACUAGCCAAUGAGAUUUGUGUUGUGAUGUUUAUUGUUUUUUGCUAUAAAUAAGUUGUAAUAAUUUAUUUAUUAAUAUGGUAUGUAAUAAAUUAAAUAGAUUAGUUUUCUUGGUUUAUUUUUGUAAGUAAUAGAUUAGUUUUUAGAAAUAAUUUAUUUGUACAAAAAUAUAACAAGUGAAUUUGGAGCCAUUUUCUGAAGACAAGAAGGCAAUUUUCGAGAUUAUGAAGUGUGCAGGGAGGAAAAGGAAACCUUUUUGCAAACUGUUGCAAAAGGUGUUGUUGUUAGAAGCUUUCCUUCGAGCUAUUGGACGUAAUGCAACCUUUUAUACAACCUUUUCUGAAAAGAGUUGCAUCUUGCUGAAUUAUUGUCUUUAAGAAGUUUUUUCAAACUUUUGCAAUCAAUGGGUGUUUUCUCAAGUGGGAGCUUUUACCACAACAUUACAAGAAGAUUUUUUUGGUCCGUUCAAAUUUACCUUUAGGAAUUGACUUGGCAUCUUUUGUGUUGGCUCACAAAAAAUGUCAUUAGUUGGUUAUGUUUAUGCAUAUAUUUUUAUGCAUGCUUGUAUUGUUUUUUUUAUGCAGUUAUUAUAUGUGGUUGAUAUAGAAGUUUCUUCACAAGCUAAAAUAAUUGUGGAUAAAAUAAACAUCACAUGGAGUUUGUUUUUCAAAUUUAUAUUAUGAACAUAAGAUGUAACAAGUUAAUGUUUUAAAAUAAAAUCCGAUUUUAUAAAAACGUUAAUAACGACAAAUUUUCAAAUACUUAAUUAUAAGUUUUAAAGUGUUAUUUUUGUAACUUAUACAAACUCAAAAUAUAUAAGUAAUAAAAGAAAGUUUAUUGAAUAUACAAAAGGUUUAAAUGCACUCAAACUUAUAACCGGUUAUUAAAGUUCAAUCGUAAUGAAUUAUGUAAAAACUACAUUGUGUAGAACCUUUAAAAGUGAUUUCUUGUUGAAAAUUGGUACCAUGACUUAUUAUAUGCAUGCAAUAACUAUUAUAUCAUAUGUUUUUAAAACUAAAAUUAGAAAACAUAUAACAUACCCCUUACAAACCAUAAAUCAUUGUAAUCUAUUUUGAAGAACACUCGCACAUCUCUUGUAUGUACUAGUGGAACAAAGGAUACCUGACCACUUAGUGUUAUAUUUUGAUGGCUCGUGUGUAUUUGUGAUUUCUAUAACUAUGUUAUAGGCCGGUUACACAUUUUUUUCAAAUUAGAUGAUUUGGUCGAGAAUCUUUUGUCAUAAAGGAUAUCUAAGAAAAGAUAAAUCCAAACCUAAGUAAGAGAAAUCCAAGGCAUAAAUGGGUUAAAACUUGUCUAAUUAUAUUUUUUUAUUAGAGAUCUCAUAAAUAAAAGAAUUAUAUAGUAAGAUAUAAUUGAUAAUCGAUAUCUCUCGGGUUAGAUUCAAAUGGAUGGGAUAAAGUUACUUAUCCAUUUAGUUGUUUUGCAACUUGGAUCCUAGACUUUGAUAAUUAAUGUCUUUGGAUACUAAAAGGGUAUUAAUUAUUAAAAAGUUUAAAUAUCAAAAAUAAUAAAUGAGUUUUGUGAAAAUUUUGUAGACAAGUAAUCCAUUCUCAUAACCGUGAAUAGUCAUUUUUUGUAGUAACUUAAUUAAACAAUGACAUUUAGUAAAUACAACUUCAAUAAAUGUGUUCAUGUUUUGAGAGAAAAUAUCUUGAGUGAUGUGAAAUUGUAUACAUUUAAAGGUCCUAGUCCUUAUGUACUUUCCUUGACAAAUAAACCUGAACAUGGCACCUAGUAAAGGCAUCACUACAAUGCUAAAGAUGCUUCUAACAUCAAACUAGGAAUAGUUAUUCAUGACUUCCAAGAAGUCCUGGAUAAUUUACAUAUAUCUGAUGAUGUAACAUGUUAAGCAAUAUUCGAGGAAGUCUUGGAUAACUUACAGUGAUAUAUUUAUAAACUUUUUAAAACAUUAGAAUAGUGCAAGCUAAAAGAGUCACCUUGUGUGAUCUAAUAGGCUCAUGUAUAUGGACUGAACACCUUCAAACCCAAGAAAUCCAAUAAGGCGACAUAGAUGGAUCUUAUUUAUCUUGUGGAGAAACUGGUCACUGGAAGAUGAAAUACUCCUCUUAUCUAGCAAGAAAGUCUAGAAUAGACUAGCACUUAAGGUGUCUACUAGAUAGAACUUAUACUUUUCAUUUAACAUUUAAGUACUUGGUACUUCAACGUUCAUCUAAUAUUUGUAAAUGGCUUGCAUAUAUUGUACAUGAUGAGAAAUAAUCUCUAGAUUGUUUAGAUCUCUCAUAGAAUGAUAAACAACAAACAAUUCAAUCACAACACGAAUAAUAACAUAGUAUGGAAUCAAUAUGAAGCUUAUGAUUCAAAUAUAGUCACGCCUCAGCAGAGCUCGAUAAAGAACUUCCACUGUACAGGCGAGCUAGGGUUUACAAUACUUUGAUAGGAAAGAUAAUAAAAGCGUUACUUACUAAGGAUGCAUGCAUGCACCUUAAAUACUAAAACCCUAUAGUAAAAUAAUGCACAGUUGGACAGGCCCAAACCGGCUACAAAAUUGGGCUAAGGACCAAGCCCAUGACGCAACACUAUAAGCCCAACAAUCUCCCCCUUUGUGUCAAAUGAGGCGAGAUAUUACUUAUGUUGAGUAGCCUUCACCAUCUUCACAACUUUGAACAAUUGAGGAAUCAUAGCAAGAAGAGUCUACCGAAAUUGAAUAUACCAUCUCAACAUGUCAACAAACAACUUCUUGUCGGCUGCAGAAUUUUGAUUACACCUUUGAAUGAUCUCCAAAAUAUGCUCCAAGCAAGCAGUUGAGAACAAGUGCUUAUCACAAAGAGAAAAAAGACAUUUUUGAUUUUCACCCCUGACGAACAUCACCGUAUGAAAUUGGGGGUCGAUUUUACCCUUGACCAUCACGUUCACAUUGCCAGCUUUCCCAAUUGGUUUGAUCGUUGGUCGCUUGUGAAUGACAGAUGUGAUCUCUUGAUCCAUUUUCACUACUUAAUGAAUGUAGCAAACAAGCAUUCGCUUGAUAUGGUCUAUAAUCGGCUGAUUCUCCUGAGGAUUUGACAGCAGAAUGUUGUUGACGAGUAUCCAGUCAUGAGGGUUAAGGUGUUGGAUAUAGUGUCUAAGUCCAUAACUAUAUUUGGUAUGUACUUGACCCGACCCGGCAUGGUCCAUUUUGGGUUGCACUUCACCCGAACAAUUUAUAUAAUAUUUGAGAAUAGUACAAGUUAUGAUUUAUUAAUAUAUUAUAAGUUCUAAUAUAUUAAUAUAAGAUCAUAUUAUUUAAUUAGUAGUGAUCUAUAAUUAAUCUAGGAUUAAUUUAGUGAUCAAAGAUAUUACUAAUUAAAUAUGGGCUUCUAUAUUUAUAUAGUGUGGGCUUAUGCUUAUUUGGAAUGGGCUAGGCUUGGAUGGAGAAGUCCAUGGAUACUCCAUGGAGCUUUAACCCAUGGAUCUCAUGGAAAUGAAGAGACAUGGGUAUUAGGGUUUACAUGGAUGUAACCCUAAUCCACCACACUAUAUAAAGGAGGCUUUGGCUCUUGAAAUCAAGCUAGUUGUAUCUAGUGAACACUAGUUGACUUAUGUUGAGGUGAGGGCCGAUUUCAAGAGAAGUGUGACUAUUCUCUCAAAGUUCCAAGUUUGUGGUGAUUUGUGACUUUCAUUUGAGGCAUCCAAAUUAUUGGUGCUAGGCUCUAAAACUCCAAGCAAUCAACUACAAUUACAAGGUAAGUAUUUCUACUAGCUUUAUUUGAUUCAUGUUCCCCAUGCCAUGCUAGUUAGGAUAUGAACCUUGGAAAAAUAAUUAUUUGCAUGUAUCUUAGACAAACAUAGAUCCAAGGUUUAUUAGGGUUGCAUGUACACUUAGGAAGUGUUAGAAUGCUCAAAACCCAUCAGUGGUAUCAGAGCCUAGGCUUGUUUGUUUGAUACUUGUUGCAAUAUGCUUGAAAAAGUCGAAAUCUUGCUGUCUGACUGAUGGACUCGCCGAGUCCAUGGGGGGACUCGCCGAGUCCACUUGUAUCUUCAACCUACUCGCCGAGUAGGUUCAUGCACUCGACGAGUAGGGUCGACAGAGUGCAGUUUUUCGACUUUAGUUGCUGGAAAUGGAUUAGAAACAUUACCCUAAACUGUUUUGGUACUUGAAAACUUGUUUUAGAAGGUGUAAUGUCUUUUCUAACUCAUUUACAACAACUAGUUAUCAAAAUUACAAAGAUUAAGUGUGAUUUUGAUAUAUGAAAGUGUUCAUGUUCAUGAUCUUGUUCUUAUGAUGUUUAGAUGAUCAUAGGAAUUAUUUGUAACCUAUGUGGUAGAUUAAUUCUUGAUCAUAAUGUUAUUUAAUGGAGUCCAUAACUUGUCCUCAAGUUAUGGAAAACCAAAAGUCUCUUGGAUUGAAAACCAUUAAAAGAACACAAGAGUUAGAAAAAUGAAGAGUCUUCAUUUUAUUACUCUAUUAAACUCAUAAGUUACAAGAUAUGAAAAGUUUUGAAAGUUUACAAAACUUGCCCUCAAGUUUUGGAACAAGUAAAGUCAAGUUAAAACUUUAGUUCCAACCCUUAGAAUUUUAAAAGUUAAAAUUCAACCCUUAUACUUAUAUUAUUAUGAUUUAAUAAUUAUAUAUAUAUGUAUAAGAACAAAGUCGUCUUACCGCUAGUACGCCUCAUUCACGAAGCCGGUCUAUAAGGUGGGUAUAAGGUUGUUGCCUAUAAAAUGGUGACUUAAUGGGUGUCCACUCUCACCCACCGCUUGCUUGAUCGGUGGAGGGUCGUUAGCCGAACGGGUAAGACAAGGACUUAUUAAUUCUCAUUCAAAGUAUGAUGAAUAUUAUAAAGUAACUAAAUGUUUUAUUAAAUUCCCAAUCUUAGUUACUUUAGGAAAAAUGUGAAUAAGGUGCUAUUCCAUGAAAUUACACUUUACACUUUGAUUAAGUCGUUGGUGGAGCGUGUGUGGUUAACCGGCACACUAACUUGGACUUAACAAGGUAGGUAAAGGGUGACUUAGGGUUUAUUAUAGUAUCGAUGGAGCGUGUGUGGUUAACCGGCACAUCGAUUGAGUGAUAAACUUUAAGGGUACCAAGUGAUUUGCAUGGUUACUUCACACCUCGUUUUGUGAUCCUCGGUAUCCCAGUCACAAAACUUGGAGGGCACACUCGAGAUUGAAACAUGCCUUUGAAAAGUUCAUUGAAUCUCAAAGAAUCUAGGAAUUUCUAAGAACCAUUCAAAAACCUAAUACUAAAAUAUUGCGGUUUUCGUGGUGGAAAUUGGUGAAUCGUCAUUCACCUACCUUUCAAAUAUGAUAUAGCUUAGAUUACGGCAUACCUCUUCUAAGUUAUAUUAUAUUGUGAUUGGAUCCUAGCCUUAAUAUUACAUUUGGGUGUUUUAUUAAGGACUCUCUUAUAUCUAAACUAAUCUUGUCCUCUUUCCUUCAGAUGUCUUUCAACAAUGCUUCUGGCUCUAAUCCUAAUGGCUCCUUUACCCUUAUGAACUUGUGUGGGAAAGUCACCUUUGAUGGAUCCAACUUCAAUGAGUGGAUCAGAAACAUCAGGAUGAUUACCCGCUACGAGGACAAAGAAUAUGUCCUUGACAAGGAGCUUAAGGAGAUUGAUGAGUCCACUGCAACUCCUCAGGAGAUCGCUGAAUUUCGGGCACAUGAAAGGGAUGCUACGAAAGUGGCUUGCAUCAUGAUGGCCACGAUGACAGCGGAACUCCAAAAGUCUUAUGAGGAUUUCUACCCUUAUGACAUGCACCAAGAUUUGAUGGAAAGAUACCAUCAAAGUGCAAGACAAGAGAGGUAUGAAAUCAUCUGCUCCAUGAUAACAACCAUGAUGAAGGACGGGGAAUCCGUCACGAGCCACAUGCAGAAAAUGCAAAGGUAUGUGGAUCGUUUGCUGAAGCUUAAUGUGAACUUCCCGGAGGAUCUUGCAAUAGAUAUUAUUUUGCAUUCCUUACCAUCGUGCUAUGAUCAAUUCCGCAUGACAUAUCACAUGAACAAGGAAGAAGUCACCCUCAGCAAACUUCAGGGACUUCUCAAGACCGCAGAAACAGGUCUUAAGGGGAAGUCGGUUGCUAUCACUCCUACUCAAAACUCUACUCCGGUUUUGGCAAUCGGGAAAAGUCGAGGGAGGAAGAGAAAGAGCUCUUCUAAGGGUACCAAGGCUCGGACCCUUGAUGGCUCUUCUUCAAGUGGAACCAAGAAAGGUUUCGUUACUCCUUCUUCUGACCCAAAAGAGGCUGAAUGCUUCUAUUGCCAUGAAAAAGCUCAUUGGAAGCGGAACUGCCCAAAAUACCAGCAAGAUGUGAAGGAUGGGAAAGUUAAACCCAACCAUGCAGGUAUUUACACUAUCAUUUCUAAUAACUCACCCCAUUCUAAUUCUUGGGUCCUUGAUACCGGGUGUGGUAUUCACAUUUGUUGUGACUUGCAGGGACUAAGAAGAAGUGAGGAUGUGGAGCAAGGAAGGAUAAACUUGAUCAUGGGGAAUAGGAAAGCUAUACCUGUUACCAAGAUUGGAGUUUAUACUUUAUCGCUAAGUAGUGGGUUUAGUUUAGAUUUGAAUAAGUGUUGUUAUUCGCCAGGAAUGGCAAGAAAUAUUAUUUCCUUUCAUGCUUUGUACAAACAAGGGUUUACCUUUUCAUUUAAUAAUGAAGUUGGUUCUAUAGAUGUUUUCUAUAAUAAUGUCUUUUAUUUUAAAGCAUUACCUUGUGAUGGUGUGUAUGAAGCUGUAUCUGUUGUAGAUAACUUGGGAAAUAAUGUUUUGUGUAUUGAUUCUACUAAUAAUAACUUGGAUAAAGCAUCUUUAUGGCAUUGUCGUCUUGGACAUAUAAGCAAGAAACGCAUAGGCCAACUCCAAAAGGAUGGAGUCUUGGAGUCGUUUGACCUAAAGUCAGAUGAUAGUUGCGAAUCAUGCUUACUUGGAAAAAUGACAAAGUCACCCUUCACAGGUUCGUGUGAGAGGGGUGAAGGUUUGUUGGACCUUAUACACACGGAUGUGUGUGGACCAUUCAAACAUGCCACAAGGGAUGCUAAUCGUUAUUAUUUGACUUUUACUGAUGAUUAUAGUAGAUAUGGAUAUGUCUACUUGAUCAAGCAUAAGUCAGAGACUUUCGAGAGGUUUAAGGAAUUUAAACAGGAAGUCGAGAAUCAAUUGGGCAGGAACAUUAAGAUGCUUCGAUCCGAUCGUGGUGGUGAGUAUCUUAGUUCAGAGUUCCUCGACUAUCUAAGGGAAUGUGGGAUAGUCUCACAAUUGACACCUCCCAGGACACCACAGUUGAAUGGUGUGGCUGAGAGGCGUAAUCGAACCUUGUUAGAUAUGGUUCGUUCCAUGAUGAGUCGAGCUACGCUACCAAUCUCAUUCUGGGGGUAUGCCUUAGAGACUGCCGCCCAUAUUCUUAAUCUAGUCCCUACAAAGAAAGUUGCCAAAACUCCUCACGAGAUGUGGACUGGUAAAGUACCUAAACUAGACCACAUCAAGAUUUGGGGUUGCGAGGCUUUCGUGAGACGCGAGACUCAUGAUAAGCUCGAACCUCGAAGCGAGAGGUGUAUUUUCAUCGGUUACCCACAGCGAUCCUUUGGUUACCUCUUCUACAGACCUAGUGACAAUGUGGUCUUUGUAGCAAGAAGAGGAGUCUUUCGAGAAAGAGAGUUUAUAAGCCAAGGAGACAGUGGGAGGCAAAUUGAUCUUGAAGAAAUUCAAGAAUCAAGCGGUGAAGGAACUUCAAACUCUAGCCCUCAACUUGAGGAGGAAACUCCUGUUGAGCCAAUUGACAAAUCUGUACCUCUGAGACGUUCCACGAGAGUUAGGAGUGCACCUGAGCAUUACUAUGGAUUCCAUAUUACUGCAGAAGGUGAGACACUUAUUAGUGAUGAGACACUAGUAAGUCAAGAUGACCCUAACAGCUACGAGGAAGCCAUGGCAGGCCCCGAGUCUGCUAAAUGGAAAGAGGCUAUGGAUAGCGAGAUACAAUCCAUGUAUGACAAUCAAGUUUGGAACUUGGUUGAAAAUGUACCAGGUCGUAAGACAGUAGGGUGCAAAUGGGUCUUCAAGAAGAAGACCGACAUGGAUGGUAAAGUACACACUUAUAAGGCUAGACUGGUUGCAAAGGGCUUCUCUCAAAUUCCUGGAGUGGAUUAUGAUGAGACCUUUUCUCCGGUAGCCAAGAUUAAGUCUAUUCGGGUUCUGUUAGCCAUAGCUGCAUUUCAUGACUAUGAAAUAUGGCAGAUGGAUGUCAAAACCGCUUUCCUUAAUGGAAAGUUGGCUGAAGAUGUUUACAUGAGUCAGCCAGAGGGUUUUGUCAGCAACGAGUACCCUAAUAGAGUGUGUAAGCUUGAGAAAUCCAUUUAUGGAUUGAAGCAAGCACCUCGCAGAUGGAAUCUUUGCUUUGAUGAAAAGGUCAAGGAAUUUGGCUUUUCUAGGAGUGAAGAUGAAUCUUGUGUGUAUGUCAAGGCUAGUGGGAGUAUAGUUAGCUUUUUGGUAUUGUAUGUGGAUGACAUACUACUCAUAGGAAACGACAUUCCAACCCUGCAGGAAGUAAAGUCCUGGCUUGGGAAGUGUUUCGCUAUGAAGGACCUUGGUGAAGCUGCCUAUAUUCUAGGGAUAAGAAUCUUGAGAGAUCGGAGUAAAAGACUAAUUGGACUUAGUCAGAGUACCUACUUGGAUAAGGUGCUGAAGAGAUUCAGCAUGCAGGAUUCCAAGAAAGGAGAGUUACCCAUCCAGAGUAACACCAGAUUGAGUAAGACACAAAGCCCUAGCACUGAGGCUGAGAUAGCAGAAAUGAGUCGAACACCUUAUGCUUCGGCUGUAGGAUCGAUCAUGUAUGCUAUGACGUGUACUCGACCCGAUGUAGCUUUUGCCUUGAGCAUGGUUAGCAGGUAUCAGGCGAACCCUGGCAAGGCACACUGGACUGCGGUAAAGAAUAUCCUCAAGUACCUACGGAGGACUAAGGACUGGGUCCUUACCCUCGGUGGGAGUGAUGACUUGAGAGUUGUAGGGUAUAGUGAUGCUAGCUUCCAGACUGAUAGGGAUAAUUUCCGCUCUCAGUCGGGCUGGGUCUUUACCCUAAACGGAGGAGCAAUUUCUUGGAAGAGUUCCAAGCAAGAGACAGUGGCAGAUUCUACUUGUGAAUCAGAGUAUAUUGCAGCUAGUGAGGCAGCAAAGGAGGCGAUAUGGCUGAAGAACUUCAUUGGAGACCUUGGAGUUGUACCAGCUAUUAAAGAGCCAAUGGAAAUUUUCUGUGAUAGUGAAAGUGCUGUUGCCUUAGCCAAGGAACCAAGGGAUCACGGGAGAUCCAGACACAUCGACAGAAAAUACCAUUUCAUCAGACAUCGGAUCGAAGAAGGACUCCUCGUGGCAAAGAGGGUAUCAUCGGAUGAGAACCCAGCAGAUCCCCUCACGAAGGGACUGAGUAGGGUUAAGCAUCUCCAGCAUGCUCGGAGCAUAGGGCUGAAGGAUGAUAUAAGUUUUAGUAGUUAGAUAACCCAGAAAUUUGUAAAGUGUAAUUGACAUUAGAUGAUGAAUAAAAGGUGUUUUAUUUAUGAGUAAAGUGUUGCUAUCUCUUGUCGAUCGUUUACUAUAUUUCUUUUGCAUGUUUUGACUUCCAGAAUAAUUUUGUUUGGUAUAACAUAUUAUUCAAACCUCCACAGUCGGUCAUAUGUCGGAAGUAGGUAUGAAUCAAGACUGUCAUGAUUGGUUGCAGAGGUCUAAGGUGUUGGACAAGGCUACAACAAUCAUGAGUGCUCAUAAGUUCUGAGCAUUGGACUCAACCCACGCUCACUGGAAUCACUUCAUGGAAUUUUAUCUCGAGUGAUCGUGAGACGGUAAUAUCAUAUAAGUCUUCAAACCUAGAGAUAUGAUUUGUUACUUACGAGUUGGUUAUGCAUUGAUUGUACGAAAACGCAUUGGUAACUCGAUGUUAUAAAACGUGCUUUUGUGUGUAAUUCAAUGAGUGGUAGAACAAACAUAUGAGUCGAAGUUUAUCUGUUCCUUCUUGGAUUAGAAGCUGAUAUCUGGGCCCCUCGAUGAUUUUGUUUUGACCUAUGUACCGGGCCCGGUCAGAACUAAAUUGAUGUGUUCAGUUGAGUUCUAUGUCAAACAAAUCGGAAAUCGGGAAACAAAUGCUGGACAAUAAGCAAGACAAUGUUCCAUGUAUUUGUCCGGCUGAUAUCUAGAACAGAGGAUUAUAUGAUCACUUAUCUAAAUGGCGCGUUCUAGUUCAACAGAGUUUAAAGAGCUACGAUUGCUGAUCGGUUCCUGAAGUUAUACUUGCAAAUAUAGUUACUAGACUUAUCCAAGUGGGAGACUGUUGGAUAUAGUGUCUAAGUCCAUAACUAUAUUUGGUAUGUACUUGACCCGACCCGGCAUGGUCCAUUUGGGUUGCACUUCACCCGAACAAUUUAUAUAAUAUUUGAGAAUAGUACAAGUUAUGAUUUAUUAAUAUAUUAUAAGUUCUAAUAUAUUAAUAUAAGAUCAUAUUAUUUAAUUAGUAGUGAUCUAUAAUUAAUCUAGGAUUAAUUUAGUGAUCAAAGAUAUUACUAAUUAAAUAUGGGCUUCUAUAUUUAUAUAGUGUGGGCUUAUGCUUAUUUGGAAUGGGCUAGGCUUGGAUGGAGAAGUCCAUGGAUACUCCAUGGAGCUUUAACCCAUGGAUCUCAUGGAAAUGGAGAGACAUGGGUAUUAGGGUUUACAUGGAUGUAACCCUAAUCCACCACACUAUAUAAAGGAGGCUUUGGCUCUUGAAAUCAAGCUAGUUGUAUCUAGUGAACACUAGUUGACUUAUGUUGAGGUGAGGGCCGAUUUCAAGAGAAGUGUGACUAUUCUCUCAAAGUUCCAAGUUUGUGGUGAUUUGUGACUUUCAUUUGAGGCAUCCACAUUAUUGGUGCUAGGCUCUAAAACUCCAAGCAAUCAACUACAAUUACAAGGUAAGUAUUUCUACUAGCUUUAUUUGAUUCAUGUUCCCCAUGCCAUGCUAGUUAGGAUAUGAACCUUGGAAAAAUAAUUAUUUGCAUGUAUCUUAGACAAACAUAGAUCCAAGAUUUAUUAGGGUUGCAUGUACACUUAGGAAGUGUUAGAAUGCUCAAAACCCAUCAUAAGGUUCGGUAGAUCAACCAGGGAGAAAUUAAGAACCGAGCCUUCAGAGCCUCGGGUCACUUUAAACUUGACGUUGACAAAUUUUCCCGCUGAAUAAGGCUUCAAUACUUUGACAGUAGUAAUCUUCUGUGAACUCCAGGUCAAGUAUUGUGGCUGAGCAAAUUCCAGGUAAAACUCCAACAGAUCUCGAUCCACGUUCAGGUCCGGAGAGGGAAUUACAACAGUUGAGUUGAAGCAAUGAAAGAUAAAUGCCUUUCGAGUGAUUGGCAUGUCAAACUGCGCAUCCUUCGAGUUUUCAAGGCCGAACGAUGUAACAUGUUUGAGCCAAUGAGUACUCGGUUCAUCUAUCGCAUCUUUUUGGAGCGAAUCAAUAGUAUAUUCUGGAAAAAUGGACUUCUUUUUCUCCAAGAGCUCUUUUUCUUUUAGCUUCUUCUGCAGCUUAGCCGUUUCCUUCGCUAUCUUUUCUGCAAGAUCCUUGUCAGAGACUUUUGUAUUCUGAAAGGGCUUAGAGGGAUUUUCACCCAAAGAAUCUUCAAAAUCAUCAUCAUCAUCAUCUGUAUCAUCUUCACCAAUUUUCUUCUUCUUGUUAUCCCUUUUGCUGAUCGAAGCUUCAUUAUCCUUCGGUGCAACUGUUGAUUUGGGUUCGGGAGGAGGUUGAGUAUUAACGUCUGCCUUUUCCUUUUCUCCCCCUUGUUUCGGCUAGACAGAAGUCACCGAAACAACCUCUAUCCAACUAAGGAUAUCCAACGCAGGUCUGAGUUUUUCAGCUAAAUGGCGUCUGAUGGAUGUGGUCAGAAUAGAGUCAUGGGAAUCAAGAAGAUGUGACAAAAUGGAAUGAACGUCACCCACAAAACUUCUAAUCACUUCUCUUUCUGACUUCAAAUCACUAAGAUCAGUUAUGGCAGCAAGAAGCUUAUGAUUUUGAAUUUUGAGCUGAGAAGUACGUUUGUCAAGCCCGUCCAUAAUUCAAUUUUCAACAGCUAGUUCGGUUUCCAGCUGAGUCAGACGCUCAUUGACAUUAGCAUGAAGAGUUGCAUUGGCAGCUUCAAUGGCCUUUCGAGCGACUUCAAGAUUAGUCCUUUUAGUUUGAAGAGAACCCAGAAGAUUAUCAACUGAAGCAUUCACAGUCUGAGAGUUCUUUUGAGCAGUAGCUUGCAAAGAAUCUAAGAAUAGAUGAGCCUCAGAAAUUAGUUUAUCGACUUUUACGGUCGCUUCUUUACCUUCUUUCGUCAAGGCCUCAACAGCAAGCGAGGCCUUCUGACACUGAGAUGUAGAGGCAUCGAUAGCCUUUGCUGCGGCAGAGAGAGAAGCAUCAUGUUCUUUAACAACCGAAGACAACAAGAUUUUAGAGCAGCUUCGGAAUAAGCACCAGUGGAGGAGGAGGAAAGUAGCUGAUCAAGCUUAUCAGUAACAGUCUUGAGGUGGCGCUUGGUGACUGGAGUAUGGUCAUCAUCAUUACUUUGGACGCGGUAGGGACUGAAGUAAGUGGAAUCAAACUCCAAGUCCUCACCUCAAAGAAUGGUGUUGGUUUUGGUAGAUAGGGUAGGUGAUGGUGGUUCGGUAGUUUCAGGAGGUUCGGUAGUGACAGGAGGAUUGGGUGCUGAAGAACCAGCCCCCAUAUUAGAUACGUUGGUUCGAAAUCCAGUAGUGGUGGUAGUAGUAGCCUCAGUGAAGAUGGGUGCAGAAAUAGGAAUGGUAGAGGAUGGUUGAGAUGUAAUGACAGGAAAAAUAGGAGGGAGGGAGAUAGGUAAAGAAAUAGGUGGGGGAGAAGGUGGUUGGGACCGAACAUGUACCUCUGGUGUAGGCGAACGAGGAGGAGUAUCACCACGAACCGAACCUUCAUCCUUUGAGCUUUCACUAUCAGAUUCACUGUGAGGAAUUGUUGGUUGAUUAGGCGACACAUAUUCUUAGUCAGAAUCACUGGAGGAUUGAAGAAUUAGCCUGCGAGUGGGUUUCUUGACUUUCUUCGGCUUAGGUUGAGCUGGAGCUGCCUUCUCAGACUUUCGCUUCCUAGGGGUUGGAACUUUUGAGACUGGACCCCCUUAUCUCCCUUUUUCACUUCUGGCUUUUUGCCUCUUUUAGCAUGUUUGUCUACUUCAUCAAUUGACUUUACCAUUUCAGUAGUGAGUUCCCAUGGACCAGAGGAGGGAAGCUUCUUGUAUUCAUGAAUGAUCUUACUUGAAGGAGGCAAAAAGGCAGAGAUCGACUCAGAAAUGGACCCAACAAAAUUUGUUUUUGAAGGAUGAGUCACUAUGAUGUUGGUAGUGUGAAAAGUAGAAUUGGAAGAAAGCAUGGAGUCCGCCAUGAUAGGAACAUGAAAACGUUUCAUUAUCCAUUGAGUAAUAAUGGUCCAGAAGCAAGCACAAGAGAUUUCAGUGUGACGAGAAGAAGAUGAUAAACUCUGAAUUAGUUGGAGCCAUAAAACCAUUCCCUAAUCCAGAUUAAGACCAUGGUACACCCCAUAAAGUAGAGACAUGAAGGACUUACUCGCACCGUCAGAUCCAACACUUCGUUCAGAAAGCCCUUUGAAUAGUAGAGUGAAGAGGCCAUUCCAUUGAGGAGGAAGGUAGGAGUUCUUGAACCUAGUCACAGUGGUGAGGUUUUCAGUAUACCCCAUAUUGUUGAACAUUGAAAUCAGGAUUAACCAUGGAGUCUUCAUAUGCAAAGCCCUAGAAGAGAGCAAAAUCGAUUCUUGGAGAUUGAAGCUUUUUGGUUAAGAAUGUCGAAGAAAAUUUUAUCUGCCCCUUUGUCAUACGUUGCAGUGGAGUAGAUUUGAGAGAGACAAGACAUUGGAACAACUUCGACUGUGGUUAGGGCUUUGACGAGUGGGGAAUAUUUCAGACAUUCCAUCACUUGAUACAUGUACGUAUCGUAGAGGAAAGGGGAGGGAUCGAUCAAAAGGUUCUGAUUGGGCUUGAUGGCAAGAAGAGUUGAGUGAGCAGUUCUUUCUUGAACUGAAGAUGAUUCCACCAUGGAUGAAGCUUGAGAAGAUGACGAUGAACAAUAAGAGAGAUCGCCCUUUUCUUUUUGAGGAUUUGUGAGUGAUAAAAGAGCCCUUUUCUUUUUGAGGAUUUGUGGGUGAUAAAAGGGUAAAGUGGAGUGUGAGAAAUCCUUUUAUAUGUACGAGUGGGAGAGAGAAAUAUCUGGCUGAAAUCUUGGCUUUAUGUGAAACCGUUCCUAAUGCGAUGGAGUGGACAGUUGGCAACCCCUAUGAUGACGCAGUAGAGAGAAAGGAUGUUUCACUUUUACGCGCCUUUCCAUAAUAGUACCUUUUUCAAAUCCUCAAAACGAUUGGAUAACUGCUAACUCAUCCAAGAACUUUAUCUUAAUCGUCACCCACAUAAUUUACAUGAACCGUUAUCACCUUUAUCUUUAUCGAUCACCGGAAUACUUUUAGAAACGAAACUGUAAAAAUUAGCUCAUCGUUAAUAGAACCAGAUUUUUGGAAAAUCAAAGAUUUUCGUGCAUAGAGUGUGAAUGAUAAAGAAAUAAAGAAAACUUUUUAUGGGAACUUGUGAUGUCUGCUAAGACAUAAAGCGACUGAUUCCGGGCACGAAUCUCUUCCUUCAAAGUCAAGAGAGACUUCAGAGUGCUUGUGUGAUUUCAUGUGAGAUAACGAUCAAAUACUUGUUAAGAAGUAUUGAAAGGCAUCUUUUUAAUUAGGGAUAUAAGGGGUGGCUUUCGCUUCAAUUCAUGAUGUCGGCACUUCUGUGACUAAUGUCGCCUGUUAAACAAGUAGGUAGGAAACAUAUUCAGUGACUUGUUGACAAAUGAGAAAUCUCAAAAAAAUUUAAUAGGAUCCUUGGGGAAGAAAAGUCUUGGUGAUAGACAUUUUCAGAAGGAUCGCUCAAAAUAAAAAGAGAUUUCAUUCAAGAACUUUAUCGUGGUAAUGGUUCACCGUCAAUUCAUUAAAGGUUUUGAAUUGUGGGAUUCACUUAGUACGUAGUGACACGAGACUAAGAUCAUUAACACAGAUUUUUGUAUAACCAUAAACCUCAGUGGUAAGUGCUGAGAGUCUCAAGGGUUACAUUAAUGAGACGAAGUGUAAUGAAGAAAAAUAAUAUAGGUGGUAUAAGAAGCGAAUGUACCUCUGCUAUAAAAGAAGGACCAAGCAGAAAACUCUAAACUUAGUAUGAGAAGAGUAAGGUAGCUCACGAUUAGAGUGAAUGUAACAGCCUACUUUGGGAAAACAUGAUUUGUAUAUAUCACAUUAUUAAGGCUUCACUCAAAAUCUGUUGAGGCGUUGGUCAACCUGUAGCAGCAUGCAUCUAGGGACUUUUAACUAAUUUAUAGAAAAGAAGUUAUACAAAGAAAAGCAUUAGAAAAAUAAAAGGAAACAUGUUUUUAUAUUUUGUGAAAUUUUUUUGAUAAAACAAAAAGAAAAAUGUUUUUGGAUUUUAUGAAAAUAAAAUAGAAUAAAAUAAAAUGAAAACAAAAACAUAAAAAUGAAUAUCGAAAAGAGUAUACAUAUGAAUACAACCAAAAUCCAUUUUAAUGAAAAAGAAGCGAACGAUUUCAGAAGGACCGAACCCGAAAUAGAUCAAGCGUUCGGUUCAUUUCAGUUCCCGGGUGAACCGAACCCAAAAUAGACCGAGCGUUCGCUCUAUUUCGCUUCUUACCUUUAAUGAAGCGAAGACGAUUUUGGUACUGAUUCUGCUUCCAUCAUUCCUAGGCCUUGUAAGAUCUUGUUGAAACUUGCUUCAGGUAAAGCCUUAGUUAAUAUAUCUGCUAGUUGAUCAGUGGUCCUAACGAAGUGAAUCUCCACGUUACCGUCUUCCACAUGAUCUUUGAUGAAGUGAUACUGCAGUGCUAUGUGAUUUUUCUUCGAGUGUUGCACUAGGUUAUGACAAACCCUAAUUGCACUUUUAGAGUCGCAAUAUAGUGGGAUUUUCUUCAUGUUCAACCCAUAGUCUCUAAGCUGACUCUAUAUCGAAACAACCGGAGAUGUGCAUGAGGCGGCAACUAUGUAUUCAGCUUCAGCCGUGGAGAGAGAAACACAUGUUUGUUUCUUUGAUUUCCAUCUAACCAAUUUACCAUCAAGAAAUUGGCAUCCUCCAGUAGUGCUUUUACGAUUCAAUCCACAACCACCUAUUUCAGCAUCUAAGAAUGCUUGGACAAAGAAACCUGAGUUGGCUGGAUACCAUAAACCGAGAGAGGAGGUUCGCUUCAAAUAGCGAAAGAUGUUUUUCGCGGCUAGCAUGUGAGGUUCGCGUGGGUUAGCUUGGAAUCGGGAACAAUAGCAGACUGAGAACAUGAUGUCGGGUCUGCUGGCUGUGAGAUACAUCAAUGACCAAAUCAUUUGACGAUAAAGUGUCAUGUCAGCGCCUGACUUCUCCAAAGAUGGUCUAAGCUUAGUCCUAAAAUCCAUAGGGAAUUUCACUUUUGAGUCUCCCAUCAUGCCAAACUUGGCAAGCAAUGUCUUUGUAUAUGCCUCUUGAUUGAUAAAAAUGCCUUCGGGUCCUUGUCUAAUAUUUAUGCCAAGGAAAAAGUUAAUUGGACCCAUUAAGCUCAUCUCAAAUUUAGUUUCCAUCAACUUCCUGAAUUCAGCUAUUAAGUUGGAAUUCGUGGAGCCAAAGAUGAUGUCAUCAAUGUAAAUUUAAACUAUCAUAAGGUGGUUACCCUCUCUCUUACGAAAGAAGGUUGGGUCAACCGAACCUUGUUUAAAUUUGGACAUUUUUAAGAGUCGAGUGAGAGUUUCAUACCAUUCUCUGGGAGCCUGCUUUAGUCCAUAUACUACUUUGUCUAGGAUGUAGUAGUGAUCUGGAUGCUUCUCGUUCACGAAGCAUGGCGGUUGCUCAACGUACACAGUUUCUUCAAGUUCUCCGUUGAGAAAGGAACACUUUACAUCCAUUUGAUAGACUUCAAAGUUUUUGUGUGCAGCAUAAGCAAGAAAGAUUCGAACCGACUCUAAUGUUGCAACUGGAGCGAAGGUCUCUUCAUAAUCUAUACCUUCCACUUGGCAGUAUCCUUUUACAACCAACCGGGCCUUGUUACGAAUCACAUUCCCCUCCUUAUCCAUCUUAUUUCUGAAUACCCAUUUGAGACCGACAACCGAAGCAUCCUCUGGAGUUGGAAUUAAAUGCCAUACUUUGUUUCUUUUGAACUUGUUAAGAUCGUCUUGCAUGGCUUGAACCCAUUCAGAAUGGUCAUGAGCCGAAUUCACAGUCUUCAGUUCAAAUUUAGAGACAAAGGAGUUGAACAUGAAAAAUUCUACUUGAGAAAAUAGUGCAGCUUUUUUCGGUUUGAUCUGUGAUCAAGUUAAUACCUUUCUGAGGAUUCCCCAAUGAUUUGACUUUGAGGAUGGUCUUUGGUCCAUUUAAUGAGAGGUGGGUAAUUUGGAUCAUAGGAGGGAUCCAGUUCUACAUUGACUUCUUCUUCCAAUUCUGAUAGUGUAUCAUCAUCAUUGACAUUUGUAUUCUUCCCCUCGAAUGAUGAUACGAUUUCAAUUUCUGGAUCAGAAUGGUCCCUUUCAUUUCGAAUUUUGGUUGAGCUAGAUGAUUGUGACGAUGAAUUCUCCCCCUGGAAUGAAGAAACUUGAUCCUUUGGUAGAGACAAACCCUCCCCUGGACAGAAGGACGGUCACCAGAAGAUUUGCUUGAGUCAGGCCUUUCGGUUGCCUUUGGUUGAUCAGUACCCAUCUUCUAUGCAACAUCGUCAAUAAUUUGCUUCAUACUAUCGACUUUGUUAUCUUCCUCCUUGGAUUCAGAAUCGAUAGCCUCUUCAAGUUCAUCGAAGAGAAGCAUAUAUAGCUCGAAAAGGUUUGAGAUAGGUAUUGUAAUUUGACUGUACUUUGGAAAGAUUUCCUGCAUUGCACCAUCAGUUGUCUUCAACUUCUUGACAUAACUAUCGUCAAAAGUGACAUAGUAUGUCUCUUCAAUCUUCUUGGAGCGUUUGUUCAAAACUCUAUAUGCCUUCGAUUGCAAGGAGUAGCCCAAAAAUAUCCCUUCAUUAGCCUUAGCGUCAAACUUGUUUCGAUUCUCCUAUGAGUUGAAGACGAAGCAUCUUGAACCGAAUACGUGAAAGACGUUCACAUUAGGCUUGCAGUUGUUCAAUAUCUCGUAAGGAGUGAUAGAGAAUCGCUUGUUUAGAUACGAUGUAUUCUGAGUGUAACAUGCAUCAACAAUAGCAUCAUCCCAGAAAUAUAAAGGCAAUGAAGCGAAGGUUAGCAUAGUUCGAGCUGCUUCGUACAGAGAUCGGUUUCGCCUUUUGACGAUUCCAUUAUGAUGUGGAGUAUAUGGAGCAAAGAAAUUGUGAUUCGUUCCUUUCUCAGCCAAAAAGUCUUCGAAAUCCUUAUUCUUGAAUUCCAAGCCAUUGUCACUUCUUACGUUAUGAACCACUUUUCUCAGUUGGACCUCUACUUGCUUUAUGAACAGCUUGAGCUUAGGAGUAGCCUCUGAUUUUUGAUUCAAGAAGAAUACCCAAGUGAAGCGAUAGAAUUCGUCAACUAUGAAAAGAAUGUACUUGUUCCCACCAAUGCUUUCAAUAGAGGAGGGACCACAUAGAUCGAUAUGUAACAGCUCCAAUGGUUCUAUCACCUUUGUGUUGAUAAUAGAAGGAUGAAUUUGUUGACUUUGCUUUCCAAUUUCACAAGCUGCACAUAGAUGUUCUUUGUCAAAUUUAAGAACUGGAAGACCUCUAACAUGAUCUCCCAAUACCAGGAUGUUGAUAUCCAUGAAAUUGAGAUGAGAGAGCCUUCGAUUGCAUAACCAGCUUUCGUCUGAGUGAGCCUUCGUUAGCAAGCAAACUACUGGUUUCCCUCGAAUUGGAUUGAGGUUUAAAGGGUACAUUUCCCCCUUUCGCUUCGACUUCAGCAGUAUGUUAUUUGACUUCUUUUCGACUAUCUUUGAGCCUUCAUAAUCAAACGAGGCCUUCAAUUCGGUCCCAACAACUAACCGUGAAACGCUUAUGAAGUUGUGCUGCAAUCCUUCAACGUAUGCAACCUUUCUGAUUGAGAAAUUACCAUUCGUAAUCAUUCCAUAGCCUUUAAUAGUUCCAAAUGAAUUGUUGUCGUACUUCACUAUUCCACCAUCCUUGAGAUACCGAAACUCCCUUAGUUCUUCCCUUCGGCCUGUCAUGCGACGCGAGCAGCCACUAUCUAUGUACCAUUCUUCGUCAAACUACAUGUCACAUAUAACCUGCAAAAUAUCAAGCAGAUUUAGGAACCUAAAGUUUCAUGGGUCCUUGUGAGCCUUUUACAAGACAGGGAAUAGUAAGUGAAACAUCAACCAUAUAUGUUCUUUUUAUUAGAGUUGUUUCAUCUUUUCUCUUUAUUGUAAAAACUUUGAUUUUGUUUGUCUUAGAUUCAUUAGACGUAGGAUUUGAAUUUUUGACGUCUGCAUGCUUUUGGAUCUCUUUCGGGCAUUUGUUAUCUUCUGGAAAGAGCUUUCCUUUUCCCUUUGAAUCUUUUGAAGCAUAAGAAUUAGAAUGAGAAUGAGAAGAAUAGGGUUUAGAAGCGAUAUUAGGUCGUCGAUUAUCAGUCCUCCUUGGUUGAAAACGGGAACACUCUUCCCUUCUGUUGGUCUGAUUGAUGUUGGCACUGAACCCAUCCUUUCGGCUGCUAUUGUAUUGAGGACUGAAACCUUGCUUUCGGUUGCUUACUCGCUGAGGAACGAAACCCACCUUCCGGUUGCUUUCACGCUUAGGACCGAAACCCUCCUUUCGGUUGCAUUCAUGUCGAGGACCGAAACCUUUCUUUCGGUUGUUUACCUGUUGUGGACCGAAACCCUCCUUUCGGUUGCUUUCAUGCCAAGGACCGAAACCUUCCUUUCGGUUGCUUCUUAGUUCUCCUAGUGACUUAUGUGUCUUUUCAUACGUUACGUAAUGAGGAUUCUGAGAUCACCAAAACUAUUUUCUUUCUGAGAGAUUCUUCUUGUAUCUCAGAUUUCGUUUGUAUUUUCGUUCUGCCACCUGUUUUGGAUUUUUAUGAAUAUUGGCCUUUUUAUUCGAUACAUGAGCAUGGCUUUCGCUCUUUGACGAACACAUCUCACACGACGUUAUUACUGAUUCGCCCGAAGAUGUUUUGGUGCCACUUUUGCUUGGCACAUCAUAUCUUGUAGGUUUAUUAAGUGGUUCUGGUACGUACCUACCCUUUACUCUCCAUGAGGUUUUCUGAGAUAGGCCUUUUGUUUCAUCAACGUUACCUAGUGGCGCUGCCUAGAAGAACUCCUCACAUCCAUUUGCAUUAUCUUCUUCUACCACUGUUGUCAGUUCUGCUGUUUGUUGAGGAGUGCCCCUUGAACUAUGUAGACUUGAUUUGGAGUGGUUUCAACCUUUUGAUAUACAACAACUUUUGCCUUAAGAAUUUUGGUCUUGUCUGUCGAUGAGCGAGCAAACUGAACGGAGUUUUCAGAGAUCAGAUUUUUGUUUGGUUCAGGUUCGCUUUUGAAAAAUUCUGAACAGUCCACCACAUCCUCUACAAAGAUUUCACUCAUGUCAUCAUCCUCAUUAAGUUCAGAUGCAUUUCCAACAUCAAUUUUAUUUUCUGAACUUAAUUUGGCAUUCAACGAGUCAAAUUUCUAUACAGUUUCGGUUCUUAAUUUCAAUUUAUCAUUUCAUCCACCAGAUUUUUGAGCAUGUCCUUAUGGUCUUUUGACUUUAUGUAGGACUCCGUUAGUCACCAAAACUAUGGAUCUAAUUCAGUAAUCAAUGAAGCAAAUAGCAAUCAAAAUUAAGUGUAGAAGGAGUAUAAAAGAGAUAACAUCAAGCAUGCACACAUCUAUUUUAUAAAUGUUAGGUACACCCUGGGAAAACACACACAUACGUCACUCACGUCUCUAUACAACUGACACAGACACAAUCUAUUUAUAGGACCACCGGCCGCACACGUGUGUACAGCCGCACAUGUGUGUACAGCCGCAUACGCGUGUAUGGCUGCACACAGAGUGUGCAGCCGCAAACACAUGUAUGGCCGCACACAGAGUGUGCAGCCGCACACACUCGCUAACAUACUACAACCAACAUAGCAAACCCCAAAACCCUACCAAGACCUACACAAGAUGAAUGCCUAGCUUAAUCCACAAAAUUAUUACCUAACAAUCUCCCCCUUGGUUUGAGCUAGCAUGGACUCAGUUCUUCUUCGAUCAAAAGCACGUCAGACUUAUACAGAUAGAUGCCUAGCCCAAACCGACAAAUUUUGACCUAACAGUCUUCCCCUUGGUUUGUGGCUAGCAUAGACUCUGUCUUUCUAAUCAGCAUCACCAAGGUGUGUAUGUAUCGCUUCCUGAAUUGUAGAAGAUCCUUAGCAUCAAACAGGACGAAUAACACAAUUGCUAUCUUGAAACUCGAUCACUGCAGUGGCGCUAGGUUCUUUAACUGUGGUCUUGAACUUGUUACCAAAUUCUGCAAUAAGUUUGUUCUUAUAGUUAGAGUAGCUUGCUAAUACGGUACCAAGAUUAAGCUGGAGAUUGGAGAUCUGUUUAGACUUCUGAAAGUUUUCUUCUUCAAGCUCAGAAACUCGAAUAUCGAGGUUUCCGAUCUGAACGUCUUUCUCGAUGAUCUUCUGUUUAAGAGUAGUGAUCUCCUCCUUGAGCUCUGAGAUAGAUGGGCCUGCUCCCCCUGAACUUCCUUCGCCUAUUGAUAUUCAUUUGUGACGAGGUAAAGGAUCUGAAUCUUGUUGAGCAAGAAACCUGGCAAGCCUCAAAGACGCAACAUAAUGCACAGGUUGUGGAGGAGAAGAACCCCCAGGAGCAGAAGAACUCUCGACAUCAAACGAAGAUCUAACAUUACUUGGUCCUUUUAGGGUCAAUUGAGUUGGUGUAGCAGCUUUGGAGGAUUGUUGGACUGGUGGUUCUUGAUCUUGAAUAAAUACUCCAUGCCUUGGAUCGAGUCGACUUCUUUUUACAGAAGGCAGGGAGAUUUGUGUCGGUGUCGAAUCACUUGUGGAUGGCACAAAUGUAGGAAUAGCAGGAUUAAGGGGAGGAAUCCUUGAAGUUGUAUCCAUUUCGGUUGAAAGGUGUCGGCCAUCUGAUCAAAAGUUGGAGACGUCACUUUGAGAACACCAAUAACUCCUUCUGUCAAUGAUCAAGCAACAAACAAUCGCAAUUGAAUAAGAAGAUGAGAAGAAAUCGAGCUUGUACACGUUUAUAUUAGAAAAACAUCAGGUACAACUCGAUGGAACACUCUGUAAACACUAUUGCAUCGAGGUCUUCACUGCUUAACCUUAUAUCAUUACCAGUAGUCUAUAAGCUGAUAUGUGAGACACUCAACAAGUUAUACUUUAACUCAGGAGCGUAGAUGAUGUUCUCAAAACUCAGCACUCCAUUUACAACUAUUCCUUUUUGAGUGAUCUUCCCUCCAUCUCCUCCCGUGAUGGAAACAUAACACUCAUUAAAAGUCUGAAUGACGUGCAGUUGGGAGAUGUCUCCUGUCAAUGUGCCUGGAACAACCGCUGUCGACGUACCAAGGUUUGACGAGAUUUCUCCGCAGCUAUUCCUGCACAAUGAGCAGGAUUAUUUAGAUUUAGGGACCCAACUCAUUACAAGCCUGGGUCCCAACCGCACACUUCAACCGCACACUCAACAACACACUCAACCAUAAACUCUAACCGUACACUCAACCGCACACACCAACUGCACACCUUCAAACUCCAACCGCACACCUUCAAAUUUCCAACAUCACACCUUUAAACUCCAACCGCACACCUUCAAACAAUGAACCACACACCUUCAAAUAGUGAACCGCACACCUUCAAACAGUUGACCGCACACACAAUUUUCUCAGAUUUUUUGAUAAAAAUUGAUUUUAAACUAUUGAAAACAGGAAUUAAACAGUAGUUCUUUAAUCAAAUGCACUUCAAAAAAACAGUGAAAUUUUGCAACCUCACACUCUAAAAUGCUUCAAUUGAUACCAAAUUGGCUCUGAUACCAAUUGUUAGUCCCUAAAAACUAUGGAUCCAGUUCAGUAAUCAAUAAAUCAAAUAGCAAUCAAAAUGAAGUGUAGAAGGAGUAGAAAAGAGAUAACAUCAAGCAUUCACACAUCUAUAUCAUAAAUGUCAGGUAAACCUUGGAAAAAUACACACAUACGUCACUGACGUCUCUAUACAACUGACACAGACAGACUCUAUUUAUAGGACCACCAGCCGCACACGUGUGUACAACCGCACACGCGUGUAUGGCCGCACACAGAGUGUGCAGUCACACACAUGUGUAUGGCCGCACACAGAGUGUGCAGCAGCACACACCUGUAUGGAUGCACACACUCGCUAACAUACUACAACCAACAUAGCAAACCCCAAGACCCUACCAAGACCUAUACAAGAUGAAGCCUAGCUCAAACCCCAAAAUUAUGACCUAACAUACUCUAUUUUGUCAAGACCAAUUUUGUAGGCAAGAGAGAUUUUGUCAAAAGAUAUAACAUUUUCACAGUUGUUAGCUUCGGCAUCGACUUCACCCAUCCUUUAACUCAAGGAAGGGUAAAAUCAUGCGUUGUUUUAAAAUCUUAAGAUUGUCUCGUUGCAAAUAGAUUGACUCAUCCCUAGACCUAAUUAACUCUUUCUCCUUCUGCUCAAUCCACAUCCGCCUCUCCUCACUCUUCGACGAUAUCCUGCUCAUUUGAUCAGUCAGGUUAGAGUUUGUGACACGUGUUUGGGUAAGAAUACUACUUAUACUAGAAAAUUUAGAUUUUAAGCUAUUCAGUUCCUUUUCAUAGUUAGUAAUAGGUAUUUUCAGAGAAGUAAGAAUAUUUUGUACCUUCUUGAUCAACUCAUCACAUUCGUUGAUCUAUGCACUGACAGGUUUCGCAGCGAAACACCUGUCCUCUCGCUCCUUCUCAUCUUCCAGUCCACUAUAUGUUGUGUACCCUCGCAUCUGUUAUACACCUUCUGUCACCAUCAAACACCUUCCUGCAGUAUAUUCUUCUUUCACCAGCAUAGCCAUGCUAUGAGUCAGCUUUCUCACUUCUUCGUCCUCUGAAUCCGUGGACCACACAUCCACUCCACCAAACUCAUCAUUGUUACCUGUAUCCUGUACAAUCAAAGCAUUCAUGGUGUUAUUGUUAGCUACUGAUUUUCUUUUCUUGAUCUCCUCCAAUCGUCUCAGGAGGUUCGCUUCCUCAUCAUCCUCAUCAACCUUUUCUGCCUUUUUCUUCAGCAUGAAGUCUUUGGCAAAGUGAUUCUUUCCUCCACAAUAAUGGCAAUCAAAGCCUGAGUCACCACCAAUCUUCGUCUCCUUCUUAGAUUCUUCUGACUUUGAACCCAUCUUCGGUUGCUCCUUCACCUUUUCAGAACUAUAACUUCCUUGCCAGUUUCGGUCCUUGUUGGCUGGGAACUUUCUUUUGAUAAACUUUCUUGGAUUGGAAACCAUCAGGGCAUACUCUUCACCAGUUAGAUCAUAGUCAGCAAGAUCCAAUUAUUCUUCUUCUUCAACAACACUUUUUCCUUUUGAAAUAAGAGCUAAUGACCCCAAGCUAGAAACCACGUUCAUUUUCUUUGACACCGCACUUUCAUGGGCCUUUAGAAUUCCCACCAGUUUCGCCAGAGAAUAUGAUUUAAACUGUUUGUGUGCCAUUACUGUGGAUACAACUGCCCUUCAUUCGAGUCUAAGACCGUUCAUGAAGGUAAACUUCUGUUCAAUGACCUUCCUCUCGAUCCCGUGCUUUAUUGUCUUAUUGAGAAGAUGAUUAAACCGAUCGAAGGCCUGAAUGAGUUUCUCUUCGGGCUUCUAUUUGAAAUCGCCAAAUUCAGAAAGUAUCAAGGUUUGAAUCGAAUGUUCCAGAUCUUCAUCAGUAAAAUAUAAUUCUUUCAAGCUAUCCCAUAUCUCUUCUACUGUAGCACAUGAACUCACUAAUUGAAACGUGUCCGAUUAUAAAGCAAACCUAAUCAUUCUUAAGGCUUUGAUGUUGAACUGAAACUUCUCUUUCUUGUCUUGAGGAAUGUCUUUCAAAUCAUUCAUGAGCUGAUUGUACUCCUUUUGAGUUUUGACAAUCUUUGAAGUGCUUGAGUGAGCAAACGGACAGAUUGUGAUUGCUUCCCAGAUCAAGUACCCAUUAUCCUCUGAUCCGAUCACAUAAUCUUCGAAGUGGUGCUUCCAAACUUCAUAAUCCUGAGUGUAUAAGAUUGGAAUCCUUGUUGUUGAUCCAAUAUUGUUGGAGAUGUUGGUUGGAUUGGUUUGCAAAUCAUCCAUAGACAUUGUGAUGAUGUUUGAUCGAUAACUUGUUUAAGAUCAGACUUGUAAUUUAUGGUUAGAGUGAGAUCGACAGUUAAUGAGAUACGUUAAUAUGGAAUGACGACUCAAUUAGUAUCAAUCAAUGCCCAUAAUAAUUUCUUCAAUAGAAGAGAUGUGUAUGAAUUACACAGCCUCCUGCUCUAAUACCAAUUAAUGAGAAAUAAUCUCUAGAUCGUUUAGAUCUCUCAUAGGUAUAAUGAUUAAAAACAAACAACUCAAUCACAAUACGAAUAAGAACAUAGUAUGGAAUCAAUACUAAGCUUACGAUUCAAAUAUAGUCAUGCCUCAGCAGAGCUCGAUAAAGAACUUCCACUAUAGAAGCGAGCUAGGGUUUACAAUACUUUGAUAGGAAAGAUAAUAAAAGCGUUACUUACUAAGGAUGCAUGCAUGCACCUUAAAUACUACAACCCUAGAGUAAAUAUCCAUGGUUGGACAGGCCCAAACUGGCAAAAUUGGGCUAAGGACCAAGCCCAUGACGCAACACUAUAAGCCCAAUAGUACAAAAGACUAACCAGUUGAUCACAAUCAAGUUGGAACUGCACUCUUGGAGUUUAGUUUACUAAUUAUGCUAGGAACAUAAUGUACUUGUAUUCUGAAACAAUGUUUGUUUUGAAACAAUUUAUGUUUUCAUUUAGAUUUUCUAAACAGAUGUCUCCAUUAAUUUAUAAAUGAUGGACUAUUUACUUAAAUCUUUUUUCAUAACGACCACCUUCAUAUUUGGAAAUGAUUGAAAUUCUAUAUAUGAGACUAGAUCUCUUAAUGAGAUUUAUAAAGUAAAUAUCAAUAUUUUAUAAAUAACAAGUUUUAUAUGGAAAACAAUUUUUUACUUAUACUUGUUUGAAUCAAACAUAUCUUUGACAUUGUUAUUUUCAAUUUCUAAAUGACAUUCACAUAUUCCAACUUCAAGAAAUGGAUCUUUGAAGGCAAAUAAUGUAGGUUAAUUGAUAUAUGUGAAACUUAUUUAUAUAUAAAUUUCCUUAAUGAAAUGUUCACUAUGUAGUAGAGAAAAUAAUUAUUAACGAACUAUACACUAUGGUGUAUGACUUCGUUUCAAAUGAAUAUCUAAGAUUUACCACAAGAUGCCAAAUAUACUUUGUUAACAAAUAUAGUAGUUAUAAUUAUAUUUUACAUGGUAAAGAAUAAUUGUGAAAUCUUUGUUGAAGCUUUCAAAUAUAAAGUUAAGAUACAAACUGGUAAAAACUAUCUAAUGGACUUAAUGAUAAUAAAGGAUGAAUUAAAUCUUACUUAGUGUGAUUUACAUUCAAAUCGAUAGAAAUGUGCUCCUUUUAUUUCUUUGGGAUAACACCUAUAACACUAUUAAUUGUACCUUGAGUACAAAUACCAAAUAAUAAUUAGAUAAAAUAUUUUCUAUAUAAGAAUUUUUUAUGGAAAGGCUCCGUCCCAAUCUUAUUUAAAUGUUUUGUAGUUUUGAAACCUUUGUUGGACUAAAGCUUCUAAACCCAAAAUCUACUAGAUAUAGAUUUGUAUAAUACUCUAAAUGUUCCUUAGAUCAUUAGAUGCAAACCCACUAAGAGUAUGUUAUUUAUUCCUCUGAUAAUUGUGUUAGCAGAAAGCAAGUUUCUAAUAACAACACGAACGGGAGGUACCUAGAACUUAAAGCAUCUCAUGAACCAUAACCUGAUAUAGUAACAAUUGGCACUAGUCUUAACAAGGGACUGUUAAAAUUGAAUCAUAGCUAUUCACAAACACAAAUUAUUCCCAAUUAAUGGUAGAAAUCAUUGUUGACUUGAGAAAUGUGGAAUCUCUCAUUAGUGAGCUUUUAUUGAUGGUUUCUGGCAAUUCCAUCAAAUACCAAGAUGAUAUGUCAGAUCUCGAAUCUGAUUCAUGGCUUAGAGUGAUAAACAUGAGAUGUAAUUCAUGAAUAAUAAUCAAGUAUGGGCUUGAUUAAACUUUAUCCCUAUAGAAACGCUAGAAGGAUUAAGUGAUUCUUCUUGAAAGAAUACAUUACAUGGAUAACUAUACAAAUUUAAAUCAAUACUUGUUACAAAAAGAUUCACUCAUACUCAAGACAUUGACUAUGCCCAAGCCUUUUAUACAAGUAGCUAUGAUUAGAUCAACAAGGAUACUAUUUACUAUAAAUUCAUAUUCUUGACAUGAGAUAUAGCAAUUAGAAUUCAAGAAAGACAACUUUUCUGAAUAGACAUCUACUAGAAGAUAUCUACAUGGACACUCCUAGAGGCUUUCUUAAUCUAUGUUAUCUUAGGAAAAUGUGUGAAGCUUGAGAUCCACUUGUGGAUAUAAAGAAAACAUCUCAAGGUUGCAAUAAUCAUUUUAAUGUAAAACCACAAAGUAUGCUCUUAUAAAAAAAUGGAUAGAGCAUGUAUGUUUACUAAAAACUAGUGUGAGCACAAUUAAAUUCCUAAAAGUUUUAUAAACGAGACAUAUUUAAUCAUGAGAAAUUACAUUAUGACCAUAUCAAUCCUUUUCACCUUGACUUGGGAUCUCUUUUUUAGCUAAAAGACUAUGAAAUGACAAGAUACAUUCUUGGAAUGCAAAAUCUAUAGAGAUAGAGAAAAUGAGUAUUAAAAGUUUUAUAUCUUUAUGCAUAUAUUGACAAUAUCUUGAAGGACAUCAAGAUAGAAGAUUACUUUAGAGGAAUCUAGGCAUUAUCACACAACACUAAGUUUGAGCCAGCCUCAAAAGGACCUAACUCAUAGGUUUAAACUAGCUAAAAUGAUUUAUAUUUGAUUUUCUUGGAAAAUGAAUCCGGAAUUUAAGCUAUAUUACACAUAGAACAUGCUAUAUGAUCAUGCUAUGAGCAUAUCAUAAUAUACCAUGUAGAUACAUGGUUAAGUCGCUAGCUCACUAUAAGGAAAUUCUAAGAGUACUUUACAGUAACUAAGAAAAUGUAUAUGAGAUAAUUAGUUUAGAAUAAAAUCUUCAUCUAAUGAACUACAUAGGAUUCUGAUUUCUAAAAAAAUAUAGAUAAUUAUGAUUUAUAAUUGUAUUAUCACUUCAUUGUGGAAUGAAGAGUAAGUUUAGUUGGAAUGAGGUCCAAGAAAAUACGAAAUGAAACAAUCUACUACAGGAUAUGAAUAUAGUAGUAUAUAAAUUCAAAUCAAAAUGAUUGAAUGAAUGAGUUCAUUGAAAAACUAUGUUGAUUUCUACCUUACAAAGAUCACAUAGAAAUCUUUGUGACUUCUAGAGUAUAAUUAAUCAAGCUAAGAGACUCUAUGUCACGAAAGAACACCAAUCAUAUUCUCCAAGAUAUUUAAGUAUACCCAGAGUAAGUUCAAAUAUGGAGAUGAUAGUAUUCGCAAAAUUCACAAAAAUUAAGUUUAGUCGAACCCAUUAAUAAAUCCUUUCUUCUAAGCUAAGUAUCAAUGUUCACACUUUAGCUGUAAGACUUUAUUAUUCUACAAAUGGUAUUUUGAUUUGGAUAUUAGAACAUUGUGACAACAAAUAUUAUAUAAUGUUUUGAUAUACUAGGAUAUGAUUAUAACAUCAAUACUUGUUGUUUUCUGUAUUAACAUGUUUAAUCCAUGAAUAAUCUUAUUAUUCUAAAGGUUCAUAGUUGGUUAUAAUUAUGGGAGGAAUUACGAAAUAAGAUUAAUAUGAAUUAUAUUGGUUGAAUUUCACCAAAUGAAAGUUAGCAAUGGGCUGUAAUCAAAUUUCAUAGGUACUUAUCAGAGAACUACUAUUAAACUGAAUCGUUAUCAUGAAUGUUAAUUUAUUAAAAGGUACUAUAUUUAUAUCCUUAACACCUCGAUGCAUAGUGGCACUUAAGUGUAAAGAGUGCAGUGCUUUGAUAUGGUCGAAUGUUGGUCCUUAACCGGACAGUCAUAAAAGCCAUUUUUUAGGUAUGGUGUAAGCUAUACAAGACACUUAUGUAGUUAAGAUGGGAUUUAUUCCUCUUAUGUGUUAAGAUUUAUAUCAGUCUAAUAUGAAUCUUGCGCAAGUGGGAGAUUGAAAGAUCUAGUAUGCUCAAGAAUCAUAUUAAAGUGAUAUUUCUAAUUAACAAAUCAUACUAAUGCGUCUCACUUACAAUAAUUUGAUAUAAUUGAUUAUUUAUUAGAAAAUGAUUUUAAUAAAUGUUCAAUAAACUCUUAUAAUUAACUGGAAAUUAUUUAUUUAAUGAAAAUAUUAAUUUUUAUUAGUUAGUAACAUAAUAUAUCAUAUUGUAUGAUUUAUUAAGUCAUGUAUAUUACUUUAAACUAGGAAGAUUAUUUUUGUCUUUCAAUGCAAAUUUAAAGUUUAUAUCUUAUAAAGAGUUAUAAGAAUUUUAUAAACUUCUCUUCACUUUUUAUGUAUAAAAAAAAGAUGAUCUACUUUCUAGGAAAAAAGACAUGGUCUUUUGAAUAUAAUCAGGUAAAUUAAGCAUGUCUUAAGAGGCAUGGGAGACAUAUAGGAUUUAGGGUAUGGAGUUCUUAAAGUUUUAAGAAGUCUUAGGUAAUAAUUUAGCUUUAUGAAGGUUUUCAUUCAUCCAUUUUUACUCACCAAAACUAUAGCUCCCUCAUACUCUCUCAUAUUCUCUCUUGCAAAGAAGUGUUAGAAGAUUACUUCUGUUGAGAGAAAAACUUUUGAGAAACACUUGAACAAACGUUAGUGAAAGUUAUAUAUUGUGGAAAUUAGUUAAUCUCAAAGGAUCAUAAAUCUUAACAAUAAUAAGAUGUUAGAGUUGUUAGAUAGUUAGAUGCGGAAAUGUAAGUGCAUAAAAGUAAUGGAAAUGUAAAUGACAACAAAUUAUAUAUCAAGUAAACACUAAGUUAAUUCUUAACAAGGUUUGCAUUCACAAUGAGUUAGUUCAUGUUAUCUUCUUAAAGUGAAUGAAGUCACAAGGACUUGCUCCGAAGGAGAUAUGAUAGUGUGAUCUUCACGUAUUUGAGAGUAAGUUCAGUAAGUUCUUAGAAGAUAAGAAUUCAGAAAGAGAUUCAGAUAUUGAGAGAAUGGAGAUAUAUGUUCAUUCAUAGUUGAGUACUUUAUUUAUAGAGACUCAAGAAAUUAGAUAGAGAAUAAACAAAGACUAAAUAUCUGACUUAUAGCAACUAUGAAUGUCACUAGGUAAUACAAUGUAAACAACUAAGUCAAAAACAAAUUAACUAAAGAGUAUUUGUUGUGGAUGACGUCUUCAUAGAGAUUGCAGAUUACUUCUUCACUUGAUGUUGAGGUAGCAAAAGACUGUAGACUGAAGAUAUGAUUUUUUGCGGUAGGGGAGUUGCUUUAGAUGACUUCAGCUGACAAGUUUAAGAGGGUCACUUUCUUGAUUCAACAUUUCCUCCCUAAGUGUCCUCUUCAACUUCAUUACUUGUUGAGAAUCAAAAACUUGAUUAGCAACCACCAAAACUUUCUUACUUCACCAAACCAAGUGAUCCUCCUUGUAAUCUCAAAUUUUACUUCAUUUGUUGUAUGUUUUGUCCUUUGCACCGAAGUCAAGGUAACAUCUAGGUUUUUGCGGGUUAGACGAUGCAUGGUAGUGAUGGGGAUGAAGUAUUUGACAUUGUUGUUGGCUCUUUUAAACAUAACUCCCAGUUCCGGGAAGUUGGUUGCUCCUAUGGAUCGAUCUUGAUAUCCUUCAAUAAAGAGAGGUGCUAGUUCAAGUGCAGGGAGAUUGAAUUUUUUAGCAAGGACCGGAUGAAUAUCCGCAUCAAUCUUUGCGAAGUCACACACUACGAACUUAAGGUAGUCACAAGCCUACUCAUAUGCGAUUUUCAUCUUUGGAUGUUUCUUCGACUUCAUUUGAAACACCUUGGCAAUCAAAAAUACCUCUUCCGGAUUCAUAUAGGGAAGGGCAGCCUGAGUUCUGAUAUAACGGUCGCCUGUUCUUGUCAGUGCGUACUGAAUGAAUUUUUUCUUCGUAAAUCUCCUUAUCCUGUAACUCUUGACCGAGGAGGGUCUAUCGUUAGACCAUAUGCUUUCAAAGGUAGAUAUAUGCUUGGCGUUGAAUUUGUUUAAUUGUUCAAACUGAAGAGGCAGCCUUUGGUCAUCAUGGAGACUGCGGUCAAAGGGUUCAAACAAAGUGAAAAAUUUGGCGUUGGGAGAGAUCGGGAUGUACCAAUAUCCAUUCGUAGGUGGUUCUACAUAUGUCAGAUUUGGCCUAUAGUCUUCAUCGAGCAAACUUCUUGUAGGAUUCACCCAGGAGUUAAUCAGGGUUUGAUUCAUUGUCAUGUCAAAACCAUGAUCUCUCCAGAUUUGUUCAGAAAACUUUGUGGCUUUUCAGUUUGCUUUAUAUUGUUUGGUUGCAGGAGAGUCAUUGGAGUGUUCAGAAGACAGAGUUGGCUCCAGAUUUUUGAAAUGUGGUAGAGUUUCUUGACGAGGUGGGGAUUGAUGGAUUUCUUGAUGCAGUGAGUGUUGUUGUUCUUGAUGUGAUGAGUGUCGUUGCGGUGGAGGAGAGUGAUGAGUUUACACUGGAGAGGGAAGCUUUUGUGUGGCCAUAGUUACAAUUGGAGUUUGAUUAAGAGGAGAAUGAACCAUAGUUGUGUGUUGUGGAGAAUGUUGUGGAGUUGGUUGCUGAGUUUUUAUCCUUGGCUGUGAUGUACCAAAGUGGGAUGGACCAAAGUUCGGUAUAGGAAAUGUUGUUGUAGUUUGAUGGUGCUCCAGAUUCGAGUGUUCAGUUCCCCUUUUUGAGGAAGUAAAAACCUGUUGCCAUCAAUCUUAGAGAAUGUUUGAUCAAACUGAGAUUUGAUCAAUUCGGAGAUUUGAGCGUUGGAGGGGACAUCAGCGUUAAACAACAUGUUGUAAAUUUCCUUAGUUAACCGCAAUAUCUCAUCAACACUGGAGUUAGCCAUGAGAGAACAUCUCAGGCUAUUGAUUGUUGAUUGAAGUAUUGACAGGACAGAUUCAUACACAUUGUGUAUUUCUUGGACUAGGAUCUGAGAAUUGGCAGCUUGUCGAUCAAGAGUGGACUUGAUCUCUUCUUUGAUAGUUGUAACCUCUUGAAUAAGAGUUUCAGCAGUUGACAUUAAUUGUUUGUGAUCCACAGUUCGAGCGUUUUCCAGGGCUCAAAUACCCAUUUCAACUUUUAUUGAGAUUCUUUCAGCAGCCAUAUGUUCUCUGGCAUCAGACUUGAACUGAUGUCAAUUGCGGUGCCAUCAACAUUGAACUCAUGAUUCUCAGCAAUUGGAGGAUGAGAUGCACCAACACCACCUUGUAAUAUUUGAGCUUGUUGCACUGUUGCUUCCAUUAUGGACAUCCAAUCUUGAAUCUUGAGAAGGUCAUGAGCCGUCUUAGUGUUGUUGAUAGCAUCUGCCCAAUAUUUGGCCACGGUGUGAAUUUCUUGUUCCUUCUUUUCUUGUUGUUUUUUUUGUUGAGCCUUGCGUGCUCGAAAUGCCCUGCGGAAAGCUUCAUAAUUAAUGAUCUCAGAUUCAGUACUUGGCUGAAACCGAGUCCAGGAAUCAUCUAUAUAAUAACCGGUAAAUCCUAGUGUACGCAUCGGGGUGUCCAGGAAUCAUCUAUACAAUAACCGAGUCCACGAUAGUGCUCACCACGCCUAAACCACUUGAUUGUAAUGGUGGCGAAGUAGGAUUUCCUGAACAUCCUUGGUCUCCUUGACCCGUAAUCAAGUGUGGCCUCGGUUCGGUUCUGGCAAGGGCGGAAGAAUUUUCUUGCAGUUGGUUAUGUGUUUGAAGUGUGUGGGUGAUAGUAAGAAGGAUGAAGCGCAACUCCUCUAGCUCAAAGUAUUGAAGGUGACUUGCCCUGGAGACCUUAGGGCGAUUUGUACCAAUGGGAUCCUCUUGGGAUCCAACUGGGCUAUCAUCUCCAUGUUCAAUUGAAACAGAUGCACCUGAUGCAUCUAAGUAGCUAGAGAUGGUAGAUGCAAAUAAUAUUGUGGGGUCUCCAAGGACUACCGGAGUCUCUUGAGAGACUAUAGUAUUUGUCCGGUCACACAUUUGGCUAUGGAUGGGGGUAAGUUUGAGCUUCUUGCGUCUAAAGAGAUCGUCAGAUUCAUCACUUGUGGAUUCAUCAACAUUUAGUGGUUCACCGGGAGUUUCAGAUUGAGAAGGAGGGGUGUUAGCUGAGGUUUCUACAAACAUAUGUUUGUGUUUCUUGGAAGGUAGUUUACACUUCCUGGCUAUAUUGCAGGGAGCCUUCUUAGAGAAGACUAUUUGCUUGACACGCUUGGGCUUUGGUUUACCAAAGGGUCAUUCAGUAGGAUGGACUAAGGUUGUAGGAGGAUCUGUGGUUGUAGGAGGAAUUGCGGUAGUUGAGGGACCUUGGGAUUUGGAAGGAACAAAAAUAGCCUGACUGGGAUGAGGUGGGGAGGAAUGGUAUGGUUCUAUACCAUCCGUAGCCUCAAUAUGGUCAGUGACUUCUCGAGUUUCAAGACCAAUGGUCUUGAGAAUGUGGCCAGGUAAUCUCUUAAUAGGUCGAAAAUAUGAUUGAUCUUAGGAGAGUGUGUACCUUUUUAAAUAGCCGGUAGCAUAGAUAUUAACGUCAGUAUCCAUGUCAUGGUUUGUAUCUUUGUGAAGAUCCAAGAUGUUGAGGGACCAGAAGCGUAGAAAUGUGAGUUUAGUUGGAUCUUCUUGAGGGUUCUCCUUGGGGACAUAUUGUAGGAAGUCAUCCCAGAGAAUUUAGCCGUAGUAGAAUGGGUUUCCUUUGAAGAAGCUCCAUACCAGUUCGAGCAGUUUGAUUCCGAUGUUCUUUGUGCCUCUGGUUCUACCAAAGAGACUCCGGAUGACAUAGUGACAAAUGUAUUGCCAUACCAUACGGAGUUUUUUUUUUCUUGAAUUCCCCAAUUCCUUUCAACUUCUUCUGAUAACCCAUCUGGUAUAGGGUUGAUGUGAUUUCGUUGACACUUGGUGAGUAAAUUUAGGUUGAACGAAGAACUCUAAGGUUAAUUGCUUCUAGAAACUUAGCUUUAGUCAGGACCACAAUACAAUCAUCGAUCAAUGGUCACGUGAACUUCUUGAUGGUUAUUGUUUUGGCGAAAAGCGGAGAAUGCACACUUGAACAGGGUGGAUAAAGGAAUGAUAUCGAUGAAAGAGUUAAACGCACGAAACAAUGGGUGAGAUGAUAGGUACUUGAUCAUCAAAUGAAUCACCUCCUUGUAUGAUGGAAAAUCUUCAAACACACCCCUAGAAUUACUCGAGCCUAUCAUCGGAGAUUGAUUUCUGAUUGUUGAAUCGGAGCCAGUUGAUCGAGCAGACCCAGAGGCCUUGGAUUGCUUUUUGGAGAUUCUAUACUUCACCAUUUUUGAAAAGGUUUUAGAAAUUGCAAGAAAAUAAGAGAGCAAGAAGAUGAAGAAUAGAAAGGUCUUCGUAACGGUUCAGAGAGCGUAAACCUUUCUUGGUAGGGAAAAGAUUGUUAUACAACACCAGAUUUCAAAAGUUAUUGGAUUUAACUUAUUUGCAAUUGUUAAUGGUAAAAUCCUUUGGUUUUAACCAUUAUCAGCCACAUAAAAGAAAUUAAAUUAGACAUUUUGUGGGCUUAAGAGAUGUGACAUAUUAAUGAAAAGAUUUCUUUACGAUAUUUCUUUUGUGGGAAAGAGAUUUUUUUGUUUUAUAGCCCAGAAUAGGUCUGACACACAUAAGGUGAUUUGGAAAGCAACUAAAACGUUGUAUGCUACAAAACGGAUGUUUUUUUAUGAAGAUUUUUUUUUAAAUGAAGAACAUUAAAUAGCACACAAAGUCCAAAUAAUUCAUGAAGUGAUCAUUUAGUGUUAAUCCGGAUGGAUCCUGGUGACUGAGUUUGAAUGCAGUGAAGUGAAGCUUAGAUUGAGACAUAGAUGGCUGCGGUAGCCUGUUCUGAGAGAACACUUGAUUAAACACUUAGAAAUCAAAAGAAUUAUGGACUCGAAGAAUACAUAGAUCAUAUGUGAUUCCGGUACUCACAUGAUGCAUAUAUUGUUAUAGCAUUGUAGUGAAGAAUAAGUUUGAAGAAUUCGAAAAGAAAAAAAACAGGUUCUUCACGAGACUACGGUAGCUAUCAAUUCAAGAGGAAUUGUGGGUUAGGAUUCAUCAUUCCUAAGAUUUCUAGAAAUCUAUUCAGUUUAGUGGCAUCAAUUGAUUUUGUGAAAACAUCAGCUAUUUCCUCAUGAGUUGGAAUAAUAAGUUGUUCGAUGUUACCUUUAAGUAUGUGGUCUUGGAUUGAAAUGGUAUCGCAAUUCAAUGUGCUUCGUCUUUGAGUGGUGGAUUAGAUUGUGAUAAAUUGCAAUGGCACUCUCUAAGUCACAAAAAUUGGUACCCGCAACAUUCUGUACCCAUAGUCCAUAAGUUGUGUUUUCAUCCAAAGAACGUGAGAACAACAACUGGCUGCGGCCACAUAUUUUGUAUCUGCGGUAGACAAAGAGAUACAAUUAUACUUCCUUGAGGGCCAGUUGACUAAUCUUACUCCCAGAAACUGGCAAGCACCGGAAGUACUUUUUUGAUCUAAUCUACAAUUGGUGUGAUCCGCAUGAGUGAAGGCUUGAAGGCUAAAGUAUUUUCCUACUGGGUACCAGAGGCCUAGAUCUACGCUUCCCUAGGGGUAUCUUAAAAUUUGCUUGACUACGAUUAGAUGAGAUAUUAUAGGGUCGGCCUGGUAUCGAGCACAUAAGCCUGUGGCGAAGACAAUGUCUGGUCUGCUUGCGGUUAAGUACAUCAAUGACUAAAUCAUUCCUCAAUAUGUUUUGUGAUCAACUGAUUCUCCGGUAGGUUCUGUAGUUAUCUUGUAUCCAAAGGCCAUAGGAACUUUGGUCGAGGAGCAAUUGUCCAUUGAAUAUUUCUUCAGUAGCUCUGAGGUGUAUUUUUCCUGAUGGAUGAAAAUACCUUGAGGAACUUGUUUUACUUGAUAACCUAGAAAGAAAUUGAUAUCUCUAUUCAUGCUCAUUUGAAACUUGUCGCUCAAGAGCUUUGUGAAGUUAUCCACCAUAUUCUAGUCUAUUGAACCAAAUAUAAUAUCAUCCAAAUCUAUUUGGACGAGCAUUAAAUGAUUACCAUUUGCCCUUCUAAAAAAAUUGGAAUCAAUAACACCUCUUUUGUAUCCAGACACGACGAGAAACUCUUAAAGGGUUUCAUACCAUGCCCUUGGAGCUUGUUUGAGACCGUAGACUGCCUUUUAAAGCUUGAAACAAUGAUUUGGAAAUUCACGACAUUCGAAGCCCUCCUUCUGUUAACCAUUGCAAGAAGCAAUUUUGACAUCCAUUUGAUGAACAUUUAUGUUCUUAUGUGCCGCAUACGGCAAGAAGAUGUGUAUGGCUUCCAUUCGAGCUACAGGGGUAUAAGUUUCGAUGUAGUCUAGAUCUUCCAAUUAACUGUACCCCUUAGCAAGAAGUCUUGCUUUGUUUCUUACUACCGCACUAGAUUCGUCAUGCUUGUUCUUGUAAACCAAUCUAGUACCAAUGAUUAUGUGUCCUUUCGGCUUUGGUACUAGUUUCCACAGUCUGUUUCUUUCAAACUCAGCUAGCUCUUCUUGCAUUGUCGUGAUCCAGUCAGGCUCCUUGAGAGCUUCCUUGAUGGAACGGGGCUCGACUGCGGAUAUUAAGGCUGCAAAAUGGCAGUGGUCCAUUAAAUCACUAGACGAUUGAGUUUGCACACCUGCGGAUGGGUUACCAAUGAUUUGACCUGGUGGGUGACGUCCAAAUGUGAAGACGAGGUUGUUGGUGAUUAGCGGCUGCGGUAGAGGGAAUGUCUCCAAUCUCUGAACAUUCUUUGGUUGGGGAAGGUAGUUCCCCCUCGACUUGAGAGCAGCCUGCAGAAGUAUCUUAGAAUGUAGGAGCUUGCUGUAAUGAUGAGAUGAAUGUCUCCCUGAACUGCGGAUGGAAGUUCCCCCUGGAAAGAUGUAUGAGUAAUAACCCUUGGAUCUGAUCGUGUGUCAAUACUCUCAAUUUCUUCAUCAUCAGAGUCCAUGAGAAGGUACUAGAGUCGCAUCUUCUAGUACUGGAACCUCGAUGGUUGUCGUUUGUAUUGAAGUUGAACUUUCCCCCUCAACCGGCAAGGAGGAAAUGUUGAGUGACAAAUCAUCAGAUAGAGAUGGACCAUAUACUUCAGCAUGUUGUUGCUGUGCUACCGGAGACACAAGUAUUUUAGAAUGAUGUUCUAUUUCAAUAGGGUCAAAAAGAUCAUCAUAAUUGACUUCAACUAUGUUAAGGGAACCCGAGGAUGCUGGGAUAUCACUCUCCAAGAUGAAUUUUGAUUCAGCUGAGGGAGCAGUGUUGCGGACAUAAUAGUCAUCAGAUUUGACAUCGAAGCUUUCGGCUAUUAUCCUUGUGCGUCUGAUGAGAAACCGAUAGGCUACUUUAUUGGUGUAGUAGCCAAGAAAAAUGUCUUCAUCUGAUUUGGGUACAAAUUUGUUAAGGUGAUCGUUGUUGUUGAUCACAAAAUAAGAAACUAUUCCAAAGUUUAUUAGUAAACUCAGUUCCAUUUUCACUUCUGAUUCUUCUUACUGGAAGGUUGAUCUGAAGCUUGCUUUCUUUGAUGAAAUUUAUGAAGACCUUCGGUGUAUCUGAUUUGAGUCUCAAGAAGAACACCCAAGUGAAACAUGUAUAAUCAUCAACUAUAACCAGUAUGUAUUUUUAUGAUGGAGACUGGCUACGGUAGAUGGACCACAAAGGUCAAUAUGAAGUAAUUCCAACCACUCCAUUAUUGAAGAAUCGAUCACCAAGGGAUGGCUUCCCUUUGUUUUCAUUCCACAAUCACAAGUUGGGCAGAGAGAAUCAUUGUUCUAUUUUAGAAUAGGAAGACCAUGGAAACUUCUUAUGUGACUAAGUUGUUGAUAUACCCGAAGUUGAGACGAGCUAACUUGCGGUGCUACAGCCAAUUGACUUCGGGUACAUCUUUGGAAAGAAACCACAAUUGUGGUUUGCCAAUGAUUAAAGAAACGUCCAAAGGAUACAUUGUGCCUUAGAAUUUAGACUUAAUCAAACAAGUGCAUCGAUUACUUGUCAAAACGUGGGAGUACUCACUAUCAAAAUUAACUUUGUGGCCGGCUUUGCACAAUUGACCCGCACUGAUCAAAAUAUGCUUGAGACCUUCAACAUACGCAACCUUUUGAAUUGAGAAGUUGCCUAUAGUCAGAACACCAUAUGUAACACCUGGGUUUCAGGGCUAAGCAUUAGUAGAUGAUGUAAUAGUCUACGUCAAUUAUUGUAACUCUUUUUAAAGUAAUAACGAUGAAUUACUUGAAUAUUAUGUGCGUUUGUGUGCUUAUUACUUGUUUAUAAUAAUAUAAUAAAUAAAGAAUAAAAGUAAGAAUCAAAAUUAAAGUGUGAGAAGUUAUUACUUGUUUACAUAAAGUUGUAGUGGUCGAAACAAGGAUUCUGGGGAUAUAUAAAACGCCGAAAUCCGAGUAAUAACGAAGAAGUUAUGUCCCGUCAAAGUUUCGCGAGGGAACCGGCACGACACCGGAAUAUGUAAAUAGUGAAUUUACGAUAGAGGACUUUAUAGCCUUAGCAACCUAAACAAAAGACAUAGAAUAUGUUAAACCGAGAGCGUCCAUAAAAAGAAUGCCCAAAUCUGACUUCGUAUUAGGAAGUUUUGAUUUUUCGAAGUUUCCGCUUAGCGGUGUACAACCCGAAGUUCGAAUAUUAGAUCGAGCGGUUUUUAACUAACACAACCGAAACGUGAAUCGAAGAUCUCAUUAAUAGUAGCGUAACGAUAAAAAGCCAGACGAAAACGGACGUCGAAUGAAGAAGUUAUGAGAUUUUAAUGGACCAAUCAUGUCCCGACCUGUUAGUAAUAUAACUUUUAAAAUAAAAUCAAAAUUAGCCAACGAAGUUUAAAUGAAAGUUGUAGAGUACAUUACCGCCUACGUAUGGAUAUAAAUAACGUUGGAAACAGAGCUCGUAUGUGAGAGUUAUGAGUUUUUGAAGUCAGAGUGUGAAUUUGCGAAGUCUGAUACGAGUUGAUGAGGUGGAGCAAUCUGGACCCUCCACUGCUGACCUCGGUACCGGCUUUGGAUUCGUGACACUUAGCCUCGCAUUACGCCCCGCAUCCGAGCUCGGUGUGCCCAGCGUACGCCUCGCACUCCUCGACCCAGGAAGCUCCAUGUCGCACCUCCCGGAGACCACAACCUGUAACUUUAUCCGAAUCUACGCCCAACGUAGCCCUUCCGAACGCACAACCGAGUCUGAGAAUCUGGCCCUAUAUGAAAGGGUGCGAAGGCAGCCGAAUUUCUUGCACAUUUCCACUUCUCUCUAUAACUUCUUUCUCUCUCUAACCCAUUCUAACUCCCCUAAACCCAAGGGAACCCUCCUAGCACUAGAAGAAAGCCUCGGAGAGUCCGGAGUCUCCGAGAAAAAGAGUUUUUCGGUUUGUAACUCUGCCCACGCGGAGCCCGGUUUUCAAGCAAACUUCUCGGUUUCGUCAAAGAAGCUUAUUUUUUAGAAGUGAGGUGCUGUCCGAAUCACUCCUUAUCAGGUGAGUGUAUAGUUAGUUUCAUCUUACACAUGGAUAUGAAGUAUUUUAUAUAAAUUAUGAUCUAUGUGUAUAUAAAUGUUAUCUAUUUACCUGAGAUGUUUGUUGGAUGAAAGAUCUAUGCUUCUUCAUUUCAGAUAUUAAACUUUUUCUUGCAGAUCCACACUUUUUCAUCUCAGAUCUAAACUUUUUCUUAAUAUCUAAACUGUAUACUUUGAGAUCUAUGUUGGAUGAAUGAUUUGAACUUCUUGCCUUCAGAUCUGAAGUUUUUCUUCAGAUAUGGACCGUAUAAAUAUUUUAUGCCUUGAAAGUUAUGUUGGAUGAAGGAUGUAAACAUUGUUUUCCAGAUCUGGACUAUUUAUGUAUUUUAUGCUUUAAAAGUUAUGCUGGAUAAAAGAUGUAAGUUUUAUUUUACAGAUCUAGACCAUGUAUGUAUCUAAUAUCUACAAAAAUGUUGGGUAGCACAUGGGUAGAUAAAACAGUUGGUGUGUGGUGAAAUAAAAUGAUGAGAGGCCUUACUCUUGACGUUGUUCUAGUCAUUUAGUGGAGUAUGGAUGACGACCACAAACUUUUCUAGGAAGUCCAAUGGAACGCUAGCAGGCUCACGACCUGUAGGUGUUUGUGAACAAAGUGUUCACCAGUGUACUCUAUCCCCCCAUGGUUGCCUUACAAACACUUAUGGAUGAGGAAUCCCCUUAGCUGUAGUGUCCAUCCCGAUGAAAUUCCUUAGGAUAUGUCCCUUUUAAUAGAUGCUUUAGGGACAUAAGGUGAGGAUAACGGGAACGGGUAAUCUGGUUAAUGAUUGUUGAAAAUAAUAAACUUAUUUAUUAUGGGUUGAAAACCGUAUAUGCUCACCAAGCUCCCCAGCCUGAACCAUUUAGUUUCUUGUAUUACAAGCAGUGGCAAAAACAUAGUUCGAUCACCUGACGAGAGAUUAUGGAUUUGAGGCCAGAUUAUGUUUUGUGGCCUAAGAUGUUUAUUUAUUUUUGGUUUAUGCUUAUGGUGUGUAUCGAUGAUUGACAUCCCGAGAUUUUGUAAUGUAAUGAAAACACAUUUCUUUAAGAAAUGCUUUGAUAAUUUUAUACCAUAUUUUGUUUUAGGAACAAAUUCCGCAACACCUUUUUUAAGAAGUUAAUCUGAUUUUUAUUAAAAAGCAUAAACGAAAUUGGUCUUUUCUGGCCAUAAAAACAGGGAUGUCACACCAUAACCUCGGAUGAUACCAUUAGCAUUAUUACCGAAUAUGACAUGUCCACCAUUACAUAUAGGCCUGAAAUCACGAAGGUACUCUAACCUUCCAAUCAUGUGUUAGGAGCAGGCACUUUCUAUUAAUCACUCCUCUUCUUGUUCCUCCUUGCACAUUGCGUAUAAAAUUAAUGGGUUAGUUUGGGCACCCAAACAAGUUUGGAGCCCGGGGUAAAAUUGGAAUUUUUUUGACUUGAUGCAUGCACAUGGGUUAUUGGGAGAUGUUUCGUGUUAGAGUUGAGACCUAUGCUGGAUAUUUUGUAACUUUGGGAAUGUUACGAGGUUUAGUUGGAUGGAAUGUUUUCAGAAGAAAAAGUACAGAUGAAAGAAGCUUUAUCCAAACACCAGGUUUGCAUAUCGGUCCGCAGGGUGUGUUUUGAAUGUUUUGUCUAGUACAGGAAUGACUUUUGGUUGCAGAACCCUUGGAACUUGAAAGAGUGUUUACACGUGAAUUUCUCCAAGGUUUUGACGUAAAAGGUGACUGUGGUGAUUUUGUAGACAUAGGAGUUGGUAAAAGACCUUUCCAUUUUGGAUCUUUUAAGGAAUAAUUUUGCAAAUUAUACCUUUGAAAAGAUGUGACAUUCUGUUGGGAUUUUUGCAAGUUAGUUUUGAAAAUAUUUUGUAACGAUACACUCCCUUUUGUCUAACAUGUUGACUGCAGUGAUUUUUGAAGGAUUUUUGUCAUUGAUGUGUUUUUUCAAAUUCUUUUGUUUUGAAACUUUGGGAUGUUUGAAAUGUUUUUUAUAUUUUUUAUCUCGCUUUUUGAGGUGUUCUUUGAAAGCCACUUUGGCGUGAGUUUUUGGAGAACCGCAUUCAGAAAUGUUCAACUAUGGUUUCAGAGUGGUUGACUAUUUUGAAAAACGUGGGUCUUUUACCAUGGUUUGAAAAACUAGAGAGUUCAGGAUUUUGUGAACACUGACCAUACUCAAAGUUUUCAGUUGGUAAUUCAUGAUUGAAUGGGUUGUAUGGUUACUGAACUUGUGACUUCGGUCUACGGUAAGGAUGACUGGACUACCGUAGAAUGAGUUAAAGAUGGUUUUGUUUGGAUACUUUAUAGAAGAUAAUGAUGGAUAACUAUUGACUCAGUUUGGUCCUUCCAAAAAAAUUUCUUCGUCAACAUAAGAAGAGGAUUGAGAGUUGAAACAAUUUGUGUUAGUGACUGGUAUGAGAUCUGAGGAUUCAGGGAGAAUUUCCUUGAUAACACAGUUGUUACUCAAUUCAUGAAGCCUACCACAGUGACAUCUAAUGUCUUUGGGGAAUGUUUUGUCAUUGACAGGAAAUUGAAAUUCGCGAUCCGGGGGGACAUAUGGACAGUCUUGGUUAAAUCGAGGUGAUGAGUCCUUUGUGGUUGAGAACCCAUUAGACCAUCCCCAAUUGUAUGUGUUAUCUGUAGUCCCAUUGUUCACAAGAUUUUCAAUAGCCUCACUCUCAUUAAACAAUUUUUUGAUUACCAAAGUCAAACGUACAUUUUCUUUUUGGGCUAAAACCCAUUGAUUCAAGGCUAUCUCUAACUGUGUUUCGAACAACAUCCUAGCAUGUUUUGCUAACACUAAGUCCUUCUCUAACUUGGCAACUUUAAGUCUCUUAUCUUCUAGUUGUCCUCUCACAUGAAACACUGCUUGGGACGCUAUGUUCUUCACAUCUAAUGCCUUGUUAUAGUCUGAAACGACGACAACAUAAGUGUAAUUAAUUUUGUCCAAGAAGGGUUGACAAUCAUGGAUGUUGUUGUUAUUAGAUUGGAUCAUGAGUUUUACCUGUUUGAUGAUGCUUAGAGUUCCAUCUUUUGCCAUUAAGCAUUAGUUUUUCUCUAGAUUUAUUGAUCCAUCUUCAUCCGUAGUUGCCACCAUACAUAUUUUUCCUUUUCCCUUGAUGUUAUGAUCUUUAUCUUCAUCUCCGGAAGACCACACAUGAUGAUCCCUUUUUACAUGGGCUACGUAUGCCCUUGCCCUUUCUUUCUCUUCUAUCUCCUAUGCAAUUCUCAUAUAGAAUUCUUUAUCUCUCACCACAUUAGCUUUAUAGUCUUUAGCAAAAUGAUUUUCUUUGUUUGCAUUUGUGACAAAUGAUAACAUCACUUUUGUCUUUGGUUGAGGUAUCGGAGUAAGUUAGCUUGGAGGACUGCGGUGCCUCUUUCGGUCGAGUAUUUUGUGGUUGUGAAGACUGGUGAGGGUUUCUGGAAUAUCGAGAAUGAUUGUUCUGUGAAUUGGAGUUACGGUUGAAGGGUGGUUUGGUAAAUUGUUGAUUUUUGCAAAAAGAAUUUGGAGGUAACCUGUUGAAUUGUUGGCUAACAAGAGCAAUUGCAUUUUGGAAUUCAUCAUCAUCAUCAUAUUCUGUAUCGGCUUCGUAACACUAUGGUGGGUUAUCAUAUGAAAGAGAAUAAGGUUCAUAUGAUUGGGUAGUUUUGUUUUGUGGAGUUUGAGCUUUGAGAGCAUGUGGACCUCCGAAGUCUGCAUAAGCUUUUAGCACAAUUGAUUCUUGUUUCAGAAGCUCGCUGUAUAACUUGAAGAGAGAUAUUGUAUGAAUCUUCCUAUCUCCUUAGACAAUCAUAUUGGCUGUAGUCCAGUGCUUACCCAAACCAUUGAGAAACUAAAGUUUUGUUUCAUGAUUACUUCGGACGGUGCCAACAUUUGACAACUUGGUGACAAUAAUAUUGAAUCUUUUGAACGAGCCUUCAAGACUUUCACUUGGAUGAGCUUUGAAGAUAUUCAACUCGUUGAGGGCAAUGGUGGGUUUCUUGUCUUGAGCUUGCUCUAAACGUUCGUAUAAGUUUUUAAGAACAUCCCAAAUUUCUUUGUCUGAUUUGAAAUUGAUAAUGAUGUCAAAGUUAUCUGGGGCCACUAAAUAUGAGAUUUCAUAAAAGGCAACAACAUCACAUUCCAUUUUGUCAAGAUCGUCUUUGGUGGGACGAUUCAUUACAACUUGACCUCCACCGAGUCUAGCUUGAGUACCAAUAGCUUGAACAGGAGUUAGAAUAGGAACAUGAGUUCCAUAUUGUGACAACCCGAAGUUUAAUCUGUCAUUGUAACCUGUUUCCGUUAAUAAAACUCGUUCUUAUUGAAUUGUUUCGUUUGCGUUUUUGGAUUAAGUCAUUUAAUAUGAGACUUUUAUUAUUACUUAAUGGGUGUCGAAACACGUUAGAAACACGUGAAAACACUUUCGAUAUUUAAUUGGAAAAUUUUUAGUUAUGACCACGUCGGGUUACAAACACUUAAUCGGGUACGACCAUAAGCCUCGUUUAACGUUAGUAUCAGGUAGAAUUCCACUGUGUCUCAAACUUAAACCAUAUAUAAAGUUAAAAGAACUUCAUUUGAAGCUUUUUCACCCUCUCUCUACUCUCUCUCUACAAAUCCAAGCUUUUGAUCUAAAAACCACCCAAUUCUAGCUCCAAAUCUGUAAGAUAUCCAUCCUAGCUCUUAGAUUAACAUGUUCACCUUACAAAUUUGUGUCAAAAUCAUCCAAAAUGACCAAAAACAUGUGUUUCGGCCCUGAAACACUCCAAAACCGUAAACACACAUAAAUGGGGUUUUGGAGCCCCAAAACCCUCCCAAAUCACUUCUAGAGCUUAGAUACGACCUUAGGGCUUGUAUGAAUGGACUUGGAACACCGAAAACUUAACAUUUUAGGGAUAAACAUGAGUUUAUGGCUCAAGAACGUGCUUGGACCGUAAACACCAUUUCUUAGGUCGUAAACACCUUUUAAGGUGGUAAGAUGCCCCUUAGACACUUCCUAAGCCUUGCAAUGAUGUCUAGAAUCAACCACCAAUGUGUUAAGGGCCUUAAACUUGAACGAAAACACCCCCAUAAGAGCUUACGGCCAUAAAUCCCCCAAGGAAAGGUUCUUGGGCCGUAAACUCCUCAAAAGUGGUCAAAAGGUGCCCUAACUUCCUUCCAUGGCUUGUAUAUUGAGUUAGAAUCACAUGUGAUUAACCUAGGACCAUCAAAACACAAAAGGAAAGGUUAUAUAAGAUCUUAGGACCGUAAACUCCUAGUUUACAGCCGUAAACUCUGUUAAAUGGUCCCUUUUGUGGCUUAAUCACUUCCUAUGCCCUAGAUUUAAUCCUAGCUUCAUCCCACAACUGUUGUAUGACCAUUAAGCAACCAAGAACACACCACCCAUGAGUUUACGGCUGUAAACUCAUGGGGAAAUGGUCAUUGGGCUGUAAUCUCCUUUAGGAGUUUACUCUUGAAGAGCAAACUCCAUAUCUAAGCCCUACACACCCUUAGAUGCUACCCGGACCACUCCUAACACUUGAAUUGAAGUGUUUUCGUUCCUCGAAGUGUAUAUUCUUAUCUAAUUAGUGGUUCAAAGUCUAAUUAGAUACAAUUGUGUAUCUCUUCAUAUUACAUAGGAACCUCGCGUGUUAUCAAGCCCCGAACUGACACUUAGCAUCCUAGCCGACACAUUUCUCGUCUGGUGAGUGCAUACCCCUACACCUUUUUCCGUGUUUUAAAUAUUUUCAGGGGGGAAUACAAGCAAAAGUACAAGGAUAUCUUGUACUCAAACAUAUUAUUUCAUUUGAAUUGUUUCAUAUUUCGUAUACUUUUAACACUGGAAAUCGUAUUAACAACCUGUCUAACUUGUAAAGUUAGUUUUCAAACUAUUUGUGAAACUCGUUAUAAAAUGUCAUGUUUUAUAUUUCACAAAUGAUUUUUCCAUGUCAUUACUGUUAAAAGCAUUAGUUUAGUACAUUUGAUUCGUCCUCAGUAACAUUCCAUAGAUAUAUGCGAGUGGAGGAUCACCUUUGUAACAUGAUUUUUCUGUAUUUUUACUUGUAAAUGUGUUAUUCCUAAAAAUUGGAGACACGUCCUCGGAAACACUCCACAGAGAUACGCGAGUGGAGGACCGCCUCUGUAACCAGAAUCUCCUGGAGGGAGAACGUGACUUGAGUGUAUGGAUCUAUAUGGGGCUGACUACCCCGCACCUGGCUGCUAGCUACAGCCGGACCGAAAGGUCCAAGGAUGACGAAAGUCAUAAAAUUAUAUUGGACUACUUAUUGCCAUAUCUAGUCUAUCGUGUGGUUAUAGAACUCGCAAUUUGAAUAACAGAGAUUUACUUGUUAGUAAUAAUGAAAUUAGUGAACUAAUAACCUCCAGAAUUAGUUUACUACCCACUCGUUAGUUUUAUAUACGUGUUAAAACUAAUGCACUUCACAAGGAUAACCAGUUUUCAGAACACUUCUCUUAACACUACAAGUAUGGUAGAUACUUGUACAUUUCAUUUUGGAUUAGUAACCAACUUUUAGGAAAAUAAGGGUUUUUCUUGGGAUAACUGAACUGUUCAUAACCAGAUUUGUGUAACAAACGGAUAACUUAACUUUACUUAUAAGAAAAUAUUAGAUUUUCUUGGAUAACAAUUUUAUAGAAAACCAAAGGAAACUUGUUCAUUUUCAGAGCCCUUGUUUAUAGUGAACUAAGUAUACCAAACCUUACAUGGUAUAAGACCAUAAACACUAAAGGGGCCAAAGUGCUCUAAACUAAAAGAAUGCUUUAAAAUAUAAGUAUUUUCAAAAAGUAUACAAGUAUACCUAACCGCCGGAUUCCGUAAGUAUGAGUAGAGCAAAACAUAAGUAAUUGGGUGUUGUACGGUGCGGUUAAACCUGGGCAGUUAUGUAGUCGUGCCUAGGGUCAAUAUAGCCUAAUCAACUAUAUUCAUUCGAGACAUGGCCAACAUGUGCUUGGGAGUGACGGUGGUGUUCAGCAUGCCUAAAACAUACCCAAUACCCAAACCACGAGUCAUCGUCGCAGCGAAACAUGAAAUACUAUGGGAGUAUUUCUAGAGUCAACUUCGUUAUAGAAAUCCUCAUUCCAGCGUUACUCCUCAAUCAUUCCUUUAGCGAUUGUUUAUUUGCUUUGAUAACUCUUUCUUGCUUUAUCUCUUAAUAGAAUUCCAUAUCUGUCAUAAUGAUAUAUCUCUUGUUUCAUAUCUCUUGAUUCAAUUUAGAGGACUUACCAUCUUCUCUUUCCUGAUCUUUUAGAUCAUGAUGCCUCCAAGAAAGAGACCCAGCUCAAAGAACAACAACCCUGUACCACCACCUCCUCCUCAAUUUGAUCCUGUGAUGUUCCAGGCAGCUAUUACUGCAGCAGUAGCAACCGCCAUGUCCUAAAUGAACCUCGGUGGCUCCGGUGGUUAAGGACGUGGUACUCAAUCUCAAAACCAAGAAGGUAGCCAGGGACACCGGAAGGAGUGUUCCUACAAAGACUUUAUGAACGCGAAACCCACAUCUUUCGAUGGCACUGGAGGUGUCAUUACCCUAACUCGAUGGUUCGAGAAAAUCGAAUCUAUUUUCGAAAUUUGUGCCUGCUCAGAAUCUGAUAAGGUGAAAUUCGCCACUUGCACUUUCACCGAUAAAGCUCUGACAUGGUGGAAUGGCCGAGUCAAAUCCUUAACCUUACCUGUUGCCAAUGCUAUGGGUUGGGAGGCCAUGAAGGUGUUGGGUUUUGAGCAUUCUAACACUCCUAAGUGUACAUGCAACCCUAAAUACCUUGGAUCUAUGUUUUCUCUAUUAUACAUGCAAAUAAGAACUUCCAAGGUAUUAUCCUAAUCUAGCAUACAAAACAAUAACUAUAGCAAGAUAGAAUACAUACCUCUUUGGUGUAGAAAGUCUUCAUGAAGCUUGAGUGCCUAGUGCCCCAAGUGUGACACCUCAAAUGGUUCACACAACACCAAAUACACAUGGAAUGACUUGAGAGAAAACUACACUUCAUGAAAAUCGGCUAGCCCUUUCUCACUCUCUCUAGUGGCCGAUUUUUCCCAAGAAUGUGAUCUUUAUAUAGUGUUACAAUUAGGGUAAACUCUUAAUUGUCAUGGCUUUCCAUUUCCUUGGAUCCAUGGGUUCAAAUACACCAUGGAGCAUCCAUGAACCAUCUUAUGGGUUUUAGCCCAACUUGAUUAUCCAUGGAGCAUUAGCCCACUAUACAAGUAUGGAUGAUUUACACAAUCAACCCAUAUAUUUAAUUAGUCUUCUUUUGAUCACUUAAUUAAUCCUAGAUUAAUUCUUGAUCAAUACUAAUUAAAUAAUCUCAUUAUUCUUAUUAUUAAUAUACUAGAACUUAUAAUAUAUUAAUAACCAUAAGUGUCUUAUUUCUCUCAUUUAGUCUAUCCAAGUGCAUGAUGCCAUGCAACCCAAAUGGACCAUGCCGGGUCGGGUCAAGUCUUACCAAUUAUAGUUAUGGACUUAGACAUUAAUCCAACAGAAGGAACUUCUACUUGCGGAGUACUGCCCUCGGGGCGAAAUGCAAAAACUGGAGCAUGAACUCUGGAACCUAAAGAUGAAAGGUUCUGAUAUCGCCGCUUACACUUCCAGAUUCGAUGACCUAGCGCUUCUCUAUCCAGGAAUGAUUACCCCGUAAAGUAAAAAGAUUGAUAGAUUCAUUUGAGGGCUGACCCAGCCGACUAAAGGGAAUGUUUUGGCUGCGAAGCCAGACACCUACGACAAUGCAAUAUAUCUAGCGCAAACUCUGAUUGACUAUAGUGAUGACCUUGGGAAAGCAUCCACCACUCCUGAACCGACUAAGAGGAGUGGUGAGAAGAGAAAAUUUUGGAAGAAGAAGAAGGGUCAUCCUUCUCAGGAGUCCUCGAAGAAGCAGCAAAUUGUAGCAGUCCAUGCUGCUACUGCCCCUACUACUGUUUCUACUGUCGGAUCCACAGCACAAACACCUACUAGUAGGUAUGCUGGUACCCUUCCCCAAUGUGACAAGUGUAAAUACCACCAUAACCCCCGGCCCUUGCCGUGAACUAUCAUGCUCCAACUGUGGUAAAAAGGGUCAUACGAUUCGAUUAUGCAAAGCACCAACCCAAUCAACUAAUCAAACUUCUGGAGCGGGUGUCGGUCAGGCCUGCUACAACUAUGGUGAAGUCGGGCAUUUCAAGAGGAACUGAACCAAGGCGGCAACAAAUGGUAGCACCGAGAGAGUCCUAGCUAUGGGACGAGAGGAGGCAGUCACCGAUCCCAACGUUGUCUCGGGUACAUUCCUUCUCGAUAACUCUUAUGCUAGUAUCCUUCUCGAUUCUGGUGCUGAAAGAAGUUUUUUUUAGCCAUUCAUUCAAACAUCUCCUUAAGCAUAACCCCCAACCAUUAACCAAAACAUUUACGGUCGAGAUGGAUAACGGUGAGAAAGAAAAUGCUAGCGAUAUAUUCAUAGGUUGUACCCUUACUUUGAACGACCAUUCUUUUCCCAUCGAUCUUAUGCCAGUCUCCAUAAAGAACUUUGAUGUUAUCAUUGGCAUGGAUUGGUUGAGUCCUAAUCAUGCUGAUAUCCUUUGUUAUGAAAAAGCCAUCCGUCUCAAUCUUCCCUCUGGCUAGACUCUCAUGAUCUACGACGAUAAGCUUAGCUCCAAUCUUCGCAUCAUUUCCUGCAUCAAAGCUCAAAAGCUUUUGCAAAAAGAGUGCCAUGCAUUCCUAUCCCAUGUAAUCAAUGAGAAACAUGAAGUUAAAGACCUCGAGAGUAUCCCCGAAGUUUGUAACUUUCCUGAUGUCUUUCCUGAAGAGCUUCCGGGAAUUCCACCUGAACGUCAAGUUGAGUUUCGUAUCGACCUAAUUCCUGGAGCUACCCCUAUAGCUAAAUCUCCAUAUCGCUUAGCUCCAGCAGAAAUGUAGGAGUUAUGCAACCAGCUCAAUGAGCUACUCAGCAAAGGGUUCAUCAGACCGAGUUCCUCGCCCUGGGGAGCUCCAGUAUUGUUUGUGAAGAAGAAAGAUGGAUCCUUCCGGAUUUGUAUCAACUACCGUGAGCUGAAUAAGUUGACCGUCAAAAAACGAUAUCCUCUUCCUUGAAUAGAUGACCUCUUCGGUCAACUUCAGGGAGCCAACUACUUUUCAAAGAUAGACCUUAGGUAAGUGUACCAUCAACUACGAGUUCAUGAGAAUGAUGUUUCCAAGACAGUAUUCGGGACUCGAUAUGGUCACUACGAGUUCUUAGUGAUGCCCUUUGGUCUAACCAACGCACCGACAGUGUUCAUGGACCUGAUGAACCGGGUGUGUCGUCCUUUUCUGGACAAGUUCGUCAUCGUCUUCAUUAACAACAUACUAGUCUACUCCAGAAGCGAGGAAGAUCACAAACAACACUUGAGGUUAGUGUUGGAAACCCUUAGAUCCGAAAAGCUAUACGCGAAACUCUCCAAAUGAGAAUUCUGGAUUCGUAAAGUAGCUUUCCUUGGUCACGUGGUAAGUGAGGAGGGUAUACACAUGGACCCUUCCAAGAUUAAAGCGAUAGAGAAUUCGUCGGCACCGAAGACAGCCACAUAAAUCCGUCAAUUCGUGGGUCUCGCUGGCUAUUAUCGGAGAUUCAUCCAGAAUUUUUCCACAAUCGCCAAACCCUUAACUACUCUGACACAGAAAGGUGUACACUUUUGUUGGAGUGAAAAGCAGGAAACUGCGUUCCAAACGUUAAAGCAAGCCUUGUGCAGCACACCUAUCCUGUCCCUACCCGAAGGGACGGAGGACUUCGAUGUUUACUGUGAUGCGUCCAAUUAGGGCUUAGGUUGUGUGCUUAUGCAAACAGGAAAGGUUAUCGCUUAUUCCUCGAGACAGUUGAAGGCACACGAAGUCAACUAUACCACUCAUGACUUGGAGUUAGGAGCAGUAGUUUUUGCACUGAAUAUUUGGAGACAUUAUCUCUAUGGAACCAAGUGCAUGAUCUUCACUGACUAUAAGAGCCUACGACACAUCUUCAAUAAGAAAGACUUAAACAUGAGGCAACGGCGAUGGGUAGAGCUGCUCAACGACUGUGAGUGCAAAAUCCGCUACCAUCCCGGCAAGGCCAAUGUGGUGGCAGAUGCCGUUAGCCGAAAAGGAGGUUCAAGCCGCAAGGUGAAGACACUGACAAUGACCAUUCAUUCCCACUUAUCCUCUCAGAUCUGAGAAGCUCAGUUUGAAUCCCUAAAACCAGAGAACGUGUAGAACGAUGCCCUGAGAGGAAUGGAUAAGAAUCUUGAGAUCAGAGGUGACGAAGUCUAUUGUUUCAUGAAUCGGAUCUGGACCCCAAGGUUCGGAGGAUUCAGAGACGUUGUCAUGAGUGAAGUACACAAGAGCAAAUGCUCUGUUCACCUGGGUUCAAAUAAGAUGUACCUAGAUCUGAAGAAACAAUACUGGUGGCCAAACAUGAAAGCCGAAAUUGCAACAUUUAUGGGCAAGUGCCUGACUUGCGCCAAAGUGAAGGUCGAGUAUCAGAAACCCUCGGGUCUGCUUCAGCAGCCCGAGUUACCUGAGUGGAAAUGGGAGAUGAUUACCAUGGAUUUCAUCACCAAGUUACCCAAAUGUCUGAGUGGGUACGAUACCAUUUGGGCAAUUGUCGAUCGUUUGACAAAAUCCGCUCACUUCAUUCCAAUUAAAGAAUCGUUCAAGAUGGAAAGAUUCACGCGAAUCUACAUCCAAGAGAUUCUCUGAUUGCACGGUGUACCUGUGCCCAUUAUCUCCGAUCGAGAUUGCAGGUUUACCUACAGAUUUUGGCAAUCCUUACAGAAGGCUCUUGGAACUCAACUAGACAUGAGCACGACUUAUCAUCCUCAAACAGAUGGGUAGAGUGAGAGAACUAUCCAAACCCUGGAAGACAUGCUUAGAGCAUGUGUCAUCGAUUUCGGAAAGUCGUGGGACAUACAUUUGCCUUUGAUCGAGUUCUCAUAUAACAACAGUUACCACACCAGUAUCAAGGCUGCCCCGUUCGAAGCCCUCUACGGUCGCAAGUGCGGAUCCCCUCUGUGCUGGGCCGAGGUAGCGGACACGCAGCUAGCCAAGAGUCGAUCCCCCGACAGUGCACUCACUGGUCCUGAAAUCAUCCGUGAAACCACCAAGAAGAUCUUCCGAAUCCAAGAACGACUGAAAGCUUCACAAGACAGACAAAAGAGUUACGCCGAUAAACGACGGAAGCCUCUGGAAUUCCAGGUUGGAGAUCGUGUCUUGUUAAAGGUCUUUCCCUGGAAAGGCAGGAUACGCUUUGGAAAGUGUGGAAAACUUAACCCGAGGUACAUUGAACCGUUCGAGAUCCUCGCUAGGAUCGGUCCUGUAGCCUAUAAACUCCGAUUACCCCAAGAGCUUAGCAACAUCCAUCAUGUAUUCCACGUCUCGAAUCUUAAGAAAUGCCUAUCUGAUGAAACCGUAGUACUCCCUCUUGAUGAGAUCGAGAUCAAUGAAAACUUGAACUUUGUGGAAGAACCGAUCGAAAUCAUGGAUUGAGAGAUCAAACGUACGAAACAAAGUCGCAUUCGGAUAGUGAAGGUUCGCUGGAAUGCCAAGUGGGGACCCGAAAUCACUUGGGAGCGCGAAGACUCGAUGAAGCAGAAAUACCCGCAUCUCUUCCUAAAUCCAUGAUUUGUAUCUUAAUUUUGAAUUUCGGGACGAAAUUCCCUCUAACGGGGGGAUAAUGUGACACCCCGAAAUUUAAUCCGUAAUUGUAACUCGUUUCCGUUAAUAAAAUUCGUUCUUAUCAAAUUGUUUCGUUUGCGUUUUUCGAUUAAGUCAUUUAAUUUGAGACUUUUAUUAUGAAUUAAUGGGUGUCCAAACAUGUCAGAAACACGUGAAAACACUUUCGAUAUUUAAUUGGAAAUGUUUUAGUUACGACCACGUCGGGUUACAAACACUUAAUCAGGUACGACCAUAAGCCUCGUUUAACGUUAGUAUCGGGUAGAAUUUCACCGUGUCUCAAACUUAAACCAUAUAUAAAGUUGAAAGAACUUCAUUUGAAGCUUUUUCACCCUCUCUCUACUCUCUCUCUACAAAUCCAAGCUUUUGAUCCAAAAACCACCCAAUUCAAGCUCCAAAUCGGUAAGAUAUCCAUCCUAGCUCUUAGAUUAACGUGUUUAGCUUACAAAUUCGUGUCAAAAUCAUCCAAAAGGACCAAAAACAUGUGUUUACGGCCCUGGAACACUCCAAAACUUUAAACACACAUAAAUGGGGUUUUGGAGCCCCAAAACCCUCCCAAAUCACUUCUAGAGCUUAGAUACGACCUUAGGGCUUGUAUGAAUGGACAUGGAACACCGAAAACUUAACAUUUGAGGGGGUAAACAUGAUUUUACAGCCCAAGAACAUGUUUGGACUGUAAACACCAUUUCUUAGGCCGUAAACACCUUUUAAGGUGUUAAGAUGCCUCUUAAACGCCUCUUAAGCCUUGGAAUAAUGUCUGGAAUCUACCACCAAUGUGUUAAGGGCCUUAAACUUGAAGGAAACCACCCCCAAAAGAGCUUACAGCUGUAAACCCCCAAGUAAAGGUUCAUGGGCCGUAAACUCCUCAAAAGUGGUCAAAAGGUGCCCUAACUUCCUCCCAUGGCUUGUAGAUUGAGUGAGAAUCACAUGUGAUUAACCUAAGACCAUCAAAACACAAAAGGAAAGGGUAUAUAACAGCUUACGACCGUAAACUCGUAGUUUACAGCUGUAAACUCCGUUAAAUGAUCCCUUUGGUGGUUUAAUCACUUCCUAUGCCCUAGAUUUGAUCCUAGCUUCAUCCCACAACUGUUGUAUGACCAUUAAGCAAACAGGAACACACCACCCAUCAGUUUACAGCUGUGAACUCAUUGGGACAUGGUCAUGGGGCCGUAAUCUCCUUUAGGAUUUUAUUCUUGAAGAGCAAACUCCAUAUCUAAGCCCUACACACCCUUAGAUGCUACCCGGACCACUCCUAACACUUGAAUUGAUACAAUUGUGUAUCUCUUCAUAUGACAUAGGUGUUGGGUUUUGAGCAACCUAACACUUCCUAAGUGUGCAUGCAACCCUAAUAAACCUUGGAUCUACGUUUGUCUAAAUACAUGCAAAAUAAUAAUUUUCCAAGGUUCAUAACCUAUCUAACAUGGCAUGAGGUACUUUUAAACAUAAAAGAAUUAGAUGAGAUUACAUACCUUUUGAUGAUGAGUUCAAUUCCUAAGAAGUUUGAGGGCCAACCACCAAUAGUGUGAAUGCCUCAAAUGGAAUCACAAAUCACCACAAACUCAUGGAAAACUUUGAGAGAGUGUAUACACACAUAGAAAUCGGCCACACCUAAGUCUCACACAACUAGUUCCACUAAUGGCUAUUUCAUGCAACAUAAGCAUGCUUAUAUAGUGUACAUGAUUAGGGUGAAACCCUAAUAACCCAUGACCUUUCCUUUUCCAGGGAUCCAUGGGUUAAAAGCUCCAUGGAUCAUCCAUGGACUUCCAUAUAAGCCUAGCCCAUUAACAAAUGAGUGUUAGCCCACACUAUAUAAAACCAAUAGCCCACAAUCUAAUUAGUCUUCCUUUUAAUCUCUAAAUUAAUUCAUAAUUAAUUUAAGACUAAGACUAAUUAAAUAACAUGACUUCAUAUUAAUAUAUUAUAACUUAUAAUAUAUUAAUAAACAUAUGUGUAUAACUCUCAUAAAAUUAUCCAUAAAUAGUUUGGAUGAAAUGCAACCCAAAUGGACCAUGCCGGGUCGGGUCAAGUAUGUACCAAAUAAGUUAUGGACUUAGACACCUUAUCCAACAGACUCCCACUUGGAUAAGUCUAAUAACUAUAUUUGCGUAUGUUACUUCAGGAACCAACCAGCAAUCGUAGCUCUCGAAAACUCUGUUGAACUAUGAAGCGCCAUUUUAGAUAAGUGAUCAUAUAAUCCUCUGUUCUCAUGAUAUCAGCCGGACAAAUACAUGGAACAACGUCGUACUUAUUGUCCAGCAGUUUGUUUCCCGAUUUUCGAUUUGUUUGACAAAGAACUUAAUCGAACACAUCAAUUUAGUUCUGACCGGCCGGUACAUAGGUCACAACAAAAUCAUCGAGGGGCCCAAAUAUCGCUUCUAUUUCUAGAAGGAACAGAUAAACUUCGACUCAUAUGCUUGUUCUACUACUUGUUGAAUUGUACACAAAGGCACGUUUUAUAACAUCAAGUUACUGAUGCGUUUACGUGCAAUCAAUGCACAACCAACUCAUAGGUAACAACUCAUAUCUCUAGGUUUGAAGAUUUAUAUGAUAUUACCGUCUCACGAUCACUCGAGAUAAAUUCCAUGAAGUGAUACAAGUGAGCGUGGGUUUAUUCCAAUACUCAUAACUUAUGAGCACUCAUGAAUGUUGUAGCAACCAUUGCUAUGACUAAACCCAUUUAGCCAUCUACAAACUCGAUUCAUGACAGUCUUGAUUCAUACCUACUUCCAACAUAUGAACGACUGUGGAGUGUUUAAAUAACUUAGUCAUUCGGAAAGAAUAACCUAGCUAUUUUGGAAGUCAAAACAUGCAAAGUGAAACACAAUAAUAAUCGAAUCCAAUAUGGUCUCAGAACCCUUUUGAAUAUAAAUAGAACCACCUUUUAUUUAUCACCAUAUUGAUUACACAUUAUUCAUUGUAUAAUGUUUCAAACAAUCAACUUAAGACUUGAAUAAAAACAACAGUCGUCCCAUGCUCCUAGCAUGUACACUUUGUUUUUCUAAACAAUAGUUAUGCCAUACUCCAAGUAUGCACACUAUGUUUGUCUAUGAUCCUUACAUUGUGAUGUAGAUCAAUUGAACAUGAUUCCAAUGAUACUCAUUUCACAAUCCCAAAUCCUUAUUGUAAAUGUGAGAAUCCCCGAUUCCUAUCAUUUACCAAAAAAACUGUUAGAUUUUAAACUUUUAUGCAAUGUUCCUCUUGUAAUGAUUAUGCACAAAGUCACCAAAACCUUGUCACCAGUCAUUACAGAGUAUUCCAAAGAAGGUCAACUUCUAUGGAACGGAAGUCUCAUAUUCAAAGUACAUUGCUUUGAACAUCCUUCUUGCAUUAAGGUUUUCUAAUCUUACAUAGAUUGAAUAACUUCCACCUAUGGAGACAUUUCCAUAGUCCCAUUUUGACUAUCACUUCCGAACAAGAGUUACUUCUUUUCAGAAUAUGUCAAUAUGGUCCUUUCCGACAACUUACAUCAUACUUCCAACUUUCCCUGAGCAACCAAUCUUUGGCGAACCUCAGAUUGUCCUCGACAAUUGCUUAAUCACUUUAGUCAUAUCCAGUUCUAGACUUUUCCCUUCUCAAUGCCUUAAGCAUUUGGAAAAUUUAGAAAAGAUGAAUAUUAUAGCACAUGCAAUCGAUCCUAUAUCCGAAGCAUAUGGGACACGAUUCAUGAUGUUUGACAUAAAGACAUGAUACUAGACCAGUCUUUUGCUACAAUAUUUUUUAUUUGCCAUGUUUUCAAAAUUUAACUAUGAAGAGGGAUGCCGUAAUCAUAAUCGAAUUUUGAAAACGCAAUAUAUAUAGAAUUUCUUCAAGUUGAACCAUUCCAACAUAAAAUUCAUAUAUAUAUUCUUGACUAAAGAUGAUUAAAAUCUCAAUCUAAGCUUUAGAAUUGAAAUGAAGUAUAAUUUCCUCUCCCUUAAUUAUAGCAAAACAACUUUUCAACCCCUGCAACUUCACGAAUUGAAACUUUGUUUUCUAUAAUUAACAUUGCUAACUUGCAACACUAAACGUAAUAAUCAUGCUCCCACUAACAUGAUGAUUAUCAGCAUAACACUUAUGCUCCCACUAGCUCUGACAUAUUUCCAGAAAUCUGCUGGACUUCUGAAAUUUAGAUUCAUACACCCUUUCUUAGAUAGCUCACAUGUGUGUCUAAACAAUUUUCAGAACUAUGAAAAGGGAUGCCGUAAUCAUAGUCUCAAUUGCUUAGGCAUUUGCCAUUUCUCACAAGUCCAUGUUAGUGUGCCGGUUAACCACACGCGCUCCACUAACGACUUUUGAAAAUGCAAAUAACACAAUUGAUAUCUACGUAAAAUCUACUUAGUGAAAGCGUUUCCUCACCAUCAUUUUCAUGAAUCGGAGAGAAACCUUAUGACACUUAGAUUUUAUAGUGUAUGAGUUCCUAUCCAUGUGAAUUUGUCAAAACCAUAAUCACAAGAUAAGGUUAGUGACAAAUUCAGCCUUACAUGGAUUAAACUUGUUCAAUCUUAGUUUCUUGUCACCUUGGUAGCACAAGGCCCACCAAUGCUUCCAAGUUGAACUCUGAUAACUCACAUGCAAAUUCAACUUAUUUGAAGUAGGUACAGAAAUAAGAAUUAUGUCAACACGAUAGGUUGCAAACCUUAAGUCGUGUGCUAGUGAUAAAUUACAGGUUUUACUCUUGAUUAAAUCUUGAAACUCUUUCAGGAUCUUUAAGGCUCCCACUGUCCCCUUGACAUAUAAGUUUCCCCAGUCAAGAACCAUUCCUUGACAAAACAAAUAUUCAAGGGAUAGUGCGGAUUCUUAUCAAGACUAACACUUCACACAAUUGGUCUUAGUUGGUCUUUGUCUCAUCCAAGACAUCACAACUUACCAAUCUCAAAUGUACAAGAGUAGAAAACAUUUUACUCUUACAUUUGACUAGUGUUAAUAAAUCUUCCUUUAUGUCACUCAAAGUUACAAUCUUGGAGUAUGACUCUAAGAAUUGUUUUGGAACGAAGUAUGACUCAUCUUCUUGAUUUUAACCAAUCCAACAAUUCAUGACCUCUCUUCUUAGCCAUAACAAUGCACUAAGACGUCCUUAGAGUAUGAAUUUGUGAUAUGGUUUCAUAAUCAUUAAGAUGAUCAUGAAAUACGAUACUAAAGUACUCUCCCAUCCUUUCAGAUUUGAGAAACUUUUAUCUUUCUGCCUAAUUUGAUUCUUCUCAUUUGUUUUGUCAUACAUUGUAACCUUUCCAAUGUUACAGAAUUAUACUUAACCUCAUAAGUAUAAUCAUAUUUACUAAUCUUUAGUAAAUCAUGACAAAUCAAUCUUUGUGGUGGACCUUGACCAGCGCACACCCAGUGUACCUAAUUCCUUAGUCCUUCAAUUGACUCACAUAUACAUGUGAUCAAAGAAUUAGUCUUAAUUUUCAAAGAUGAAAAUUCUCAUUCAUCAUACAAUACAACUUGUAUGAUUCCAAGUUUCUGUCCAAUUGAAACUUGGGUGAUGAAAAACUUUCUUCAUUUGGUAAAUUCAGACACUACCACAAAUGAAAGAAUCAAAUCCACUUUCCAAUAUUGCUAUUACUGGAAACAUAUAAGCAACAAUUUUCCACAGAUGCCAUUGUAAGGAUAUUUUUAAAAUAAAUAAAAUUAAAACCCUUUUUUUUUUUUUUUUUAAAACUUUGCGGAAAAACUUAUCCUUACAAUCCACAUGAAAACCUUGUUGUUAUCUAUUCAUAAGCAAUAUAUUAUAACUCUUAAGCAACAGCUCAAAAUUCUGAUUACCGAACCAUGCGAUCGAAACCCACCUUCGCAAUCAGAAUCAACAUAUACUUACUUUAAGCUUCCUAUCUUUUCUUUGAUUCUUAAAAACAUCAGCAUGUGACCCAUUCACAUUAUGUAAUAAGAAUCUCCAAAUAGGAACUUAAUAGAGUUAGACAGUGGACUUUACCCGAAGUAGAGUCAAACCUCUUGACUUGAUCAACCUUAUGACCUUUCAGGUGAAUAGGGCAGCUUCGCAACCAAUGCCCCUUCCUUUGGCAACAAAACACAUGGACCCUUUGGUAAUGGCACAUGAGACUAUCUCAGACUUAGCCUUUCUCUUUACCAUUUGGUCAACCGAGUUGACUAUGGCCGAUCCCUUUCCAUUGGGAAGAGAAAUCCUUUUCUAGAUAUCCAAUGCUACCAUUGUCAAUGUCCAUUUAAGACUUGGGAAGUUGUUCUUUUAAUCAAAUUUGCUUUACUGGUGUUCCAAAUCAUUGCUGAUUCCACAACACCAAGCAAAUAGAUAACAUCAUUAAGGGUCAUGUCAUAGUCUGUCUCAUAGUAGUCCCAAAGAGACUCACUAUGUUACUAAGAAAGUGAUUGAACAUCCAACUUUCACGAGACUUUGACACCCAACUCUCCCGGCUUGUCAAUAUGUGACUUUAUCUCCAAGAUGUGAGCACACAUAGACUAUGCUUGCCAAUAGGGAUUGAGUGACUUUAAACUUUUCAAGAACUUGUGGGUGAGGGAGAAUAAUUGGAGGAGGUGGAGGAAGUGAAGCAUGAUGUUGAGGGACACCAUCUUCAAGAGAUUUGGGAAGAUCAUAGUUGUCUGAACCAGACAUCUAUAAUGGGAGAAAAUCAAGUUAGUUGAUUCAAAGUCCUUAAUAUAACACCCAAUAUGAAAUAUUAAGGCUAGGACCCAACACAAUAUUUUAUAAUUUGGAAGAGGGAUGCCGUAAUCCAAGCUAUAAAAUAUUUGAAGGUAGGCGAAUGACGAUUCACCAAUUUCCACCAUGAAAAACGAAAUAAUUUAUUAGGUUUUAAUUGGAUUUGAAAUUCCUAGAUCUUUUGAGAUUCAUUGAACUUUUCAAUGGCAUGUUUCAAUCUCGAGUGUGCCCUCUCAAAUUUUGUGACUGGGAUGCCGAGGAUCACAAAACAAGGUGUGAAUAACCAUACCAAUUCACUUGGUACCCUUAAUAUUAUCACCUAAUCAAUGUGCCGGUUAACCACACACGCUCCAUUGAUCUAUGACAAACAUUAAGUCACCCUUCGUGAUCCUUACUAGUCCAAGUUAGUGUGCCGGUUAACCACACACGCUCCACCAACGACUUGGUAAGGUACAAAGUGUGAAUUCCAUGGGCUAGCACCAAAUUCACAUUUUUCCUAAAGUAACUAAGAUUGGGAAUUAAAUAAAAAAUUUUUAGUUACUUUAUAAUAAUCAUUAUACUUUUAAUGAGAAUUUAAAGUCAUUGUCCUACCCGUUCGGCUAACGACCCUCCACCGAUCAAGCAAGCGGUGGGUGAGAGUGGACACCCAUUAAGUCGCCAUUUUAUAGGCAACAACCUUAUACCCACCUUAUAGACCGGCUUCGUGAAUGAGGCCUACUAACGGUAAAACGACUUGUUCUUAUACAUAUAUAUAAUAAUUAACCAUUAAUGUUAUAAAUAGUAUAAGUGUUGAAUUUUAACUUUUAAAACUCUAAGUGUUGGAAUUAAAGUUUAUUAAAGUGUGUGAAACUUUUCAAAUUCCAAAACUUGAGGGCAAGUUUUGUAACUAUCCAAAACUUUUCAUUUCAUAACUUAUGAAUUAAAGGUUCAUAAAAAUGAAGACUCUUCAUUUUCAUGUAACUUAUGUGUUUAAAUGUGUGUGUUAAAGAAAAGUGACCUUUGGAUAUCCAUAACUUGAGGACAAAUUAUGGACUCCAUUAAAACACAUAAAUGAUCAAGAAUUAAUUCUAAACAAUUCAGCAAAUAAUUCCUAUCAUCUUCUAAAUUCAUAAGAACAUGAACAUGAUCAUCAAAAUUUCAAGAAUUAUAUGAACACAUAAAAAUCAUGGAAUUUUGAUAUAUGCUAUUGUAAAUGGAUUAGAACAACCAUUACACCAACUAAAACAAGUUUUAAAACACCAAAACAGUUUAGGGUAAUGUUUCUAGUCCAUUUCCAGCAGCAAAAGUCGAAAUUCUGCAUUCUGAUCAUUCUACUCGCCGAGUGCACGAACCUACUCGCCGAGUAGGAUGAAUUUUGCCUUGAACUCGGCGAGUCCCCCCAUGGACUCGGCGAGUCCAUCAGCCAGACAGCAACAAUUUCAACUUUUUUCACUAUUUUGCAUCAAGUAUCAAACAAGCAAGCCUAGGCUCUGAUACCACUGUUGGGUUUUGAGCAAUCUAACACUUCCUAAGUGUGCAUGCAACCCUAAUAAACCUUGGAUCUAUGUUUGUCUAAAUACAUGCAAAAUAAUAAUUUUCCAAGGUUCAUAACCUAUCUAACAUGGCAUGGGGUACUUUUAAACAUAAAAGAAUUAGAUGAGAUUACAUACCUUUUGAUGAUGAGUUCAAUUCCUAAGGAGUUUGAGGGCCAAGCACCAAUAGUGUGAAUGCCUCAAAUGGAAUCACAAAUCACCACAAACUCAUGGAAAACUUUGAGAGAGUGUAUACACACAUAGAAAUUGGCCACACCUAAGUCUCACACAACUAGUGCCACUAGUGGCUAUUUCAUGCAACAUAAGCAUGCUUAUAUAGUGUACAUGAUUAGGGUGAAACCCUAAUAACCCAUGACCUUUCCUUUUCCAAGGAUCCAUGGGUUAAAAGCUCCAUGGAUCAUCCAUGGACUUCCAUAUAAGCCUAGCCCAUUAACAAAUGAGUGUUAGCCCACACUAUAUAAAACCAAUAGCCCACAAUCUAAUUAGUCUUCCUUUUAAUCUCUAAAUUAAUUCAUAAUUAAUUUAAGACUAAGACUAAUUAAAUAACAUGACUUCAUAUUAAUAUAUUAUAACUUACAAUAUAUUAAUAAACAUAUGUGUAUAACUCUCAUAAAAUUAUCCAUAAAUAGUUUGGAUGAAAUGCAACCCAAAUGGACCAUGCCUGGUCGGGUCAAGUAUGUACCAAAUAAGUUAUGGACUUAGACACCUUAUCCAAGAAUAGGAACCUCGCGUGUUAUCAAGUCCCAAACUGACACUUAGCAUCCUAGCCGACACAUUUCUCGUCUGGUGAGUUCAUAUGUAACAACGUAAAUUUUCAAAACAAAUUUUCAGUUUUAAAACAUUCAUUCACUCAGAAAAUAUUGUCAAAACACAUUGUAUCAAUUUUUAUCAUCACGAAACAUCUCCCCAGAAUCUCAAACAAAAUCUCCAACGCGUGUGUACGAGUCAUGUCGGCGUCUUCCCACGCUCAUCACUAGUACAUGAAACACAUAACAAAGCAACUGUAAGCAUAAAUGCUUAGUGAGUUCCCCAAAAUACCGCAUACAACAAAUACGCCACUCGAGGCUAUAAUACGACCUUCCGGUCGUUGUGUCUUAGCGAAACCCCCCUGUCCUGUAGCUCGUUGGACGCUCUGGUCCGAUCAUAGCUCGUUGGGCCCUCCGGCCCGGUCUAUAUCGUUGGACCCUUCGGUCUGGUCUAUAACAUCAUAUAACAUACAUAUAACACAUAGCACAUAAUCUCAUACAUAACACAUAGGAUCGUCUGGUCCACACAAUAUACCACUCUAGGUAACGUAUAGUGAGAAGACUCACCUCGAUGUGUCGGUAACUAUCUGACUUGGAAGAAAUGUGAUCUAGCCUCUGCCUAAUCACAUAAAGUAAAUACUCCCAUAAAUGCAACUGUACUCAACCCUAAAAGUCAACAAGGUCAACAGUCAAACUUUGACCCGACUCGUCGAGUGCACUAGCGCGACUCGGCGAGUCUACACGUGUCCACUGACUCUCUUAGUCCCCCUCUUGGUACAUCGAGUUCUUCCCCUGACAUGAAUCGCGGGGCCAACCCGACUCAACUCGCCGAGUCUCAAGAACAACUCAGCGAGUUCCACUUGAACUCAGUCUCCCCUGACUCUCCCUGACUCACCGAGUUACUCCCCAACUCGGCAAGUCCACUCACUGAGUGUUUAAUGGGCAACCUUCAUACUACUCGCCGAGUCUGUUCUUCGGACUCGGCGAGUUCAUGCCAUGCACAAACUCUAUACAGCUCCUGAGGUCAGAUCUGUUCCAUACAAUCAAAGAUUUGGCCUCCCCAAGCCUGAUAAUCAUGUAAAGUUCGGACCUUGGCACUCAUAUAUCAUCAAAAUGGUCCAAAAUGGUGAUUUAGCCCUAAAAAUGACAUCCCAAGCUCAUGAUUCCCAAAAAGGACUCAUAAAGCUCCAAUGGUUAACGCCUCUGGACCUCUUUGGGUCCAGAUCCAGAACACAAACUCGAGAAGGGACCAAAUGCUCUACAUAAUCAACCUCUAAAGGGGUUAGAAAACCCUAACACAAAGGAUCAACACCAAAACUGAAGAAGGUCCGAGAAUAAUACCUCAAUACAGUCUCUAUGAGCUCAAAAACCACCAAAAUCGGACCUUCUUCAGCCUCCUCUUUCCUUGGUCACUUCCUUCUUGCAAAAACACCCACAAAAGGAUUAAGAAUAGCCUCUCCUUCCUCACAAACGCCAUAGAUCUCUUAGGGUUUCUCUCUGGGGGUUGGUGGCCGCAAAUGACGGCCCUAAAGACCUUUAAAUAGGUAUCAAACCCUGGAAAUUAGGGUUUCAUUAAAAAGCGUGGACUCGCGGGUCCACUCGUGAAUCCGCCAAGUCCAGCUGUGAACUCACUUACGAAUCCGCGACCAUACUCGGCUAGUUUGGACGCCAACUUGCCGAGUCUCCCCAAAAAACCCAAAAAUAAAGGAAAAAAAAUUUAAUACCUGGGAAUCCGGAUGUUACAUCAUACCCCUACACCUUUUUCCGUGUUUUAAAUGUUUUCAGGGGGGGGAUACAAGCAAAAGUACAAGGAUAUCUUGUACUCAAACUUAUUAUUUCAUUCGAAUUGUUUCAUAUUCCAUAUGCUUUUUACACUGGAAAUCAUAUUAACCAUCCGUCUCACUUGUAAAGUUAGUUUUCAAACUAUUUGUGAAACUCGUUAUAAAAUGUCAUGUUUUAUAUUUCACAUAUGAUUUUUCCAUGUCAUUACUGUUAAAAGCAUUAGCUUAGUACAUUUGAUUCGUCCUCGGUAACAUUCCACAGAGAUACGCGAGUGGAGGAUCACCUUUGUAACAUGAUUUUUCCGUAUUAUUACUUGUAAAUUUGUUAUCCCUAAAAAUUGCAGACACGUCCUCGAAAACACUCCACAGAGAUACGCGAGUGGAGGUCCUCCCCUGUAACCAGAAUCUCCUGGAGGGAGAACGUGACUUGAGUGUAUAGAUAUAAACGGGGCUGACUACCCCGCACCUGGUUGCUAGCUACAGCCGGACCGAAAGGUCCAAGGGUGACGAGAGUCAUAAAAUGAUAUUGUACUACUUAUUACCAUAUCUAGUCUAUUGUAUGGUUAUGGAACUCUCAAUUUGGAUAACAGAGAUUUACUUGUUAGUAAUAAUGAAAUUAGUGAACUAAUAACCUCCAAAAUUAGUUUACUACCCACUCGUUAGUUUUAUAUACGUGUUAAAACUAAUGCACUUUACAAGGAUAACCUGGUUUUCAAAACACUUCUCUUAAAACUGCAAGUAUGGUAGACACUUGUACAUUUCAUUUCGGAUUAGUAACCAACUUUUAGGAAAAUAUGGGGUUUUCCUGGGAUAACUGAACUGUUCAUAACCAGAUUUGUGUAACAAACGGAUAACUAAACUUUACUUAUAAGAAAAUAUGCGAUUUUCUUGGAUAACAACUUUUAUAGAAAACCAAAGGAGACUUGUUCAUUUUCAAAAAACAAACCGCUUAUGAACUCACCAGCUUUAUGCUGAUUUUCAAACUGCUUGUAUUCUCAGGUCCACAUUAGACAGGUACCUCGCGAUCUUUUGGUGAAGACGGAGUGUAUAGAGACUCGUCUUUGCUUUUGUUCAUAUGAUGUAUACGUAUAAAACUUGUAUCACUUUACUUUCAAUCAAGUGUAAAUACUUCUAUGUAAUGUAAUGCUGUGUUUACUUCGCUUACUAUGUACAUUGGCUGUGAUACUUAACAUAAUGUCACCUCCGCCCCAGAAUGUUUCCGCCUUCGGUUUCAGGGUGUGACACUUCUUCUACGGAUCUCCACGCAUCUCUACCAAGUCUUCUCAGAUACCUCUCAAUCCUUUGGGACCAAUGAUGAUAUUCACUAGCAACAAGUAUUGGGGCUCGAUUAGAACCACCAACACUGUUGGAAUCAUUCAGAGAUAAUACUUGUGCCAUAUUUCCUUUGUUUUUAUUAUUUAAAAAGUUGAUAGAAAUGAGAUUUAGUUGUAUAGAAGGCUUUUCAAAAUUAGAGUUUUCUUUAAGAAGCAACCACUUUGGCUCUGAUAUCAAUUGUUGAGAGAAAAACUUUUGUGAAACACUUGACCAAACAUUAGUACAAGUUAUAUAUUGCAGAAAUUAGUUAAUCUCAAAGGAUCAUAAAGCUCAACAAUAAUAAGAUGUUACAGUUGAUAGAGAGUUAGAUGUGGAAAUGUAAGUGCAUAAAAGUAAAGGAAAUGUAAAUGACAACAAGUUAUAUAUCAAGUAAACACUAAGCUGAUUCUUAACAAGGUUUGCAUUUAAACCCAGUUAGUUCAUGUGAUCUGCUUAAAUUGAAUGAAUUCACCAGGACUUGCUCUAAAGGAGAUAUGAGAGUUUGAUCUUAACGUAUUUGAUAGUAAGUUCAGUAAGAUCCUAGAAGAUAAGAAUUCAGAGAGAGAUUCAGAUAUUGAGAGAAUGGAGAUAUAUGUUCAUUCAUACUUGAGUACUCUAUUUAUAGAGACUCGAGAAAUUACAUAGAGAAUAAACAAAGACUUAAUAUCUGACUUAUAACGACUAUGAAUGCUCACUGGGUAAUACGAUGUAAAAAAAUAAGUCAAAAACAAAUUAACUAAAGAGUCUUUGUUACGGAUGACGUCUCCAUAGAGAUUGUUGAUUACUUCUUCACUUGAUGUUACGGUAGCAAAUGACUGUAGACUAAAGAUAUGAUUUGUUGCGGUACAAGAGUUGCUUCUGAUGACUUCGCAUGACAAGUUUAAGAGGGUCAAUUUCUUGAUUUAAUAACUUCCUUGCAUUUUGCUCUCUUUAAGCCUUAUUUGGAUCUGGACUUAAAGCUUAAGAGGUUUCACUAGCAUGUACAUCAAGUUGGCUUCAUGUUGGUGUCUCAAAAUAUUCCAAAUUCUCCGUCAACUUCCAAGCCUCCCAAUAGAACCAAAGAACAACAAAGGUUGUUACUUCUUUACCUUCUUCUUUAAUUGUUGUUUUGUUUUCAAACAUUGAAAGAAGAUCCAUGGUGGUUAUAAACUUGUUUUAUGUUAUUCAAAAUCAAAGUCUUCCGUUGGUAAAUCAUAUCUUUUGAAAACUAGUUGUUGUAUAAAAAUCCAGCAUUUAUUAGGGGUGAUUGUGGAAUUAUCCUUCAGGUUUGGGAGUCUUAACUAGUAGUUCGGGAUUAUCAAAGGUCUAAUCAAAUUUUUCUUCAAGGUUUAUGACCCUUUUGUGGUUGUUUAACAUAGUUUUUCGUUAGUGGUUUGAUGUUUUGUAGUUAUCUUGACCUAGGGAAUAAACAAAAUGACUGUCACACCCCAAAACCAAGAACGGCAGAAACGUUCCAGGGUGGAGGACGUCAUGUGAAGUAUCAUAACAGUGUGAAGUAGUAAACAAGAAACAACAUCAUCCAUUUCAUUAAAAGUAAUUUUUUAAUACAUGUGUAUUCUUUCAUAAUGUACAACAAUAAAUGAAUAAUCAAAAUAAGACGAGUCUUGUCUGUGCUCCGUCUUCUCAAAACCUUGCCAUCGUACCUGUCUAACCGGUGACCUGAGAAUACAAGUUAUUUUGAAAGCGAGUAUCAGCCUAAAGCUGGUGAAUUCAUAAGUAUUUAAGUGUCAUUGUCUUCUUUUGGAAAGCUGUUAUGAAUGCCAUGUAAAUCUUUAAAUGAAACAGUUGAUAUAAGUAUGAAAAACCCUAGAAAAUCACAUAUUUCCUACAAGUAUGAAAUGUAGUCUUCUACCAAGACCCGAAUGUUUUGUUAUGAUAAUGAUAGUUUUUCCUUCUUUUUGACUAUUCCAAACAGUACUUAGUCUAACUCAUCGUUUAUGUUAAUGUAUCACAAAAUAAAGUAAAUAGGAAAAGAAUAUGAUAGUCUUCUACCAAGACCCGAAUGUUUUAUUAUGAUAAUGAUAGUUUUUCCUUCUUUUUGACUAUUACAAACAGUACUUAGCCUAACUCAUCGUUUAUGUGAAUGUAUCACAAAAUAAAGUAAAUAAGAAAAAUAUAAUCAUGUAAGUGUUAUCCUUUUGUAUUAGGAUUAACACGACGUCGCGAUUUGCGAAAUGUACAACCUUUGAACAUCCGUAGAUUGUUCUAUUAUCCUCUGUAGCUACAGCAGGGGAAAGGAAGGGUUAGUCCCGUAAUCGAUUUUCCUAAUAUAAGUAUUAACCGUAGGCAUUCGUAGAUGUUCAUCAACCUCUGUAGCGAAUAGUAGGCCCAAGGAAUGGUUAGUCCCGUAAAGGUAUUCUAAUAUAAGAAUCAACCGUAGGCAUUCGUAGCUGUUCAUCAACCACUGGUGCUAACAGUUGGGCUUCGGAAUGGUUAGUCCCGUUAGAUAUCCCGUUGAACUGGGAUAGGCAGGACAAUUUACACAGAGGGUACUAAUAAAUCAUCCUAAUGAAUCGAGGUACAAGUAUCCAUUUAAAUGUAUACAGGAGAAUGUAUCUAUGUGAAGGUACUCAUGUAAUGUAUUCAUGUAAGGCACUCAUGUAAUGUAUUCAUGUAAGAUUCUCAUGUAAUGUAUUCAUGUAAGGUACUCAUGUAAUGUGUUCAUGUAAGGUUCUCAUGUAAUGUAUUCAUGUAAGGUACUCAUGUAAUGUAUUCAUAUAAGGUACUCAUCUAAUGUAUUCAUGUAAGGUUCUCAUGUAAUGUAUUCAUGUAAGGUACUCAUGUAAUGUAUUCAUGUAAGGUUCUCAUGUAACGUAUACUAUAGACUCAUGAAUGAACUGAAUCUGAUGUAAUUCCUUGUAAUAGAAAUAAUGUUAUGUAUCUCCUAACUAUCCCUAUAAUAGUUAACUGGAAGGUAAUUGAUUGUCCAAACAGGUUCAUACACCCUUACUACACAAGAGUGUGGGAAACUGAAUGAAGGAUGAAAACUAUAACAUCAAUACAUAUAAAAGAACAUAAGUGUACAUAUAUAGUUUUGUUCAAGAAGGUAAAAAUGGUUUUUUUAAGACAUCUAAGAGUUUUGAACAAUAGUUAACAAUGACUUGAUGUCAUUUUAAUAAACAUUUCAAACGUAAUACUUUUGCUAUCAAGGUAUUUUUAAGAUAUAAAACCAUUUCAUGCAUCAGAUAUUCUAUUCUAGUAUGUGAAAUCUGCUGAAUGAAAACACAAUUAUAAAUACAUAUGCUUGAUUUAAUAAGAUGUUGUUUUCUACCUGUUUUCCCUCAUUUAAAGUAUUUAAAAUUAUUUAAAACAUUGAUUAAGUGGUAUGAACUCACCUGUUGUGGGUGAUACGGAUGAAUUGAAGAGGUAGGAUUGCUAUGUGUCAAGUGAAGUCUUGAACACACUUUAUGAUCCUAGUUAACAUAUAAUAUCACAUAUAUGUAACAAAUUAGUCUAUAAACAACUAAUAAAUAAGUCAAGACACCCUAGGACAUGCUAAACACCUUUAUCAAGUGUUAUUAGCCUCUAGGAUUGCAUAUAAGUGUUUGUAGGGGAAGCAAUUGUGUGUAGGGCUCAAGGAAAACUGCACCAUGAAGUUCACGACCCUAAUGACACUACCAAAGGAGUUUACGGUCGUAAAAUCAUGAGUUUCAGGCCGUAAGCUCACACUUAUAUGUCCAUUUUGUGUUUGAUGCUCUACAAGACCCUAAGAAGCAUUUCUACUUAAUGGCUUGGUCUAUGCAAGAGUAUAGGGCAUUAUAUAAUUCCUUUUGGGAGUUUAUGGCCCUGGGACUAAAUCCCAAAGAGAUUACGUCCGUAAUCUCCCUUGGAUGGGUGUUUUGGUGUUUUCAAGUUCCUAAUUCAACUAUGAACUAAACUAGGCUAGUGUACAAGGCUUUAGAAGAGUUUAUAGCACCAUUUGGCACUAUUGUUUGGAGUUCACGGCCCUGGAACUUCUUGGGCCGUGAACACCUUACUCUUUGUGUUCUAAUGGUGUUUGCUAGUCCUAAAUACAUUAGGGUACAUGUCUAAACUAGUCUCUUGGCUUAAGGAAGGCUUUUAGGCCAUUUUGACACCUAAAAAUGGAGUUCACGGCCCAAGAACAUCAUUGGCCAUGAACUCACCUUCAACCCUUGAUUCUUAAUGUUUUGGAUGUCUAAACCAGCUAUGGGUUGUCUCAAGGUUCAUUUCCAAGGUUUGGAGGGACAUUGGGCACACUUUGGCCCUUAUAAAAGAGUUUACUCUCCAAGUGUUCUUGGGCGGUAAACUCUCAAAUCUUGGGGUUUUGAUCUGAUUUUGAUGUUAUUAGGCACAAUCUAAGCCAUAUAAUACAACUAGAUAGAAGUACUCACGAUUUGGGAUGAAAACCCGAAGAUCCGUGAGAGAGAAUUUGGCUUUUCUCAAGUUGGAAAUGUAACUAAUGAAUAAAUAUGGUUCAUAAUCCUAUAUAUAGUCCUAGGAUUUUUGGCAGAAAAUAUUUUAUUCCCGAAAUGAACUCUAAUAUCAUAGAGUUUUGGAAUAACAUUGUUGCACAACACCCUAGUGCAUCCACUCUCCUGAUAUCACCAUAAGUGUAAAUCCUGAAAUACUCAAACUUAUACCCAAAGUAUGGAAUUUCACUAUAAAUGUUCUAACUUCUAUUGACUUGAUAUGAUUUGUUCAAAAUGGAAAUUUCGGGUUGUCACAAUGACGCUCCAGCUAAGUGCUGUGAGAAAAUUUGAAAUUUUGAUUGGAUGUUGUAAGGGUAUCAGAUUUCGAGGUACUUCAUUCCUCGAGUAAAGCUGUGGGGUUGGGGAUGUUAAGGAUCAAAGGUGGCUGGUGUGGUCUAUUUAUAGGUAAUUUUUGGUAAUAAUAGCGGCCUCACUUGUACUAGAUAUGUAAUUUGUAUGUGAGUCUUCGGUGAGGGCAUAACAAUUAUAUAAUGAGUUAUGGAUGAAUGUAAACAUACUUAGGUAAGGCCAUUGUUGGUAUUUGGUAUUAUCCUUUUUUGCAAGAUAUGCUUGGUUAGUUUUCAUGUGUCGAUGUUGAUUAAGUUCCUAUAGGUCGGUGGGAUGAUGGUCGUGUAUUUAUAAUCCUAUUAAAGUGUUGGUCGUUAGUUUUAAUGGCCAUGGAAAAUAAAGGUUUGAAUAGUUGUGUGCCAUGAGCCUAUCAUUCCAAUGGGUAGAUGGUGUCAUGACAUGUCUUGAGAAUGUGUAUGUGCGACUUGUACUAGUGGAACUCGCCAAUCGUGUUGUCAAGCUUAUUGGUUUCUGCUCCUUAUUUUACAUUGACACGUUUUAAGUGGUUAGACCCUUGUGGAAAGGCUAUUGCUGCUCAGUGUCUUGAAAGUUUUUAUUUGGACAUUUGGAAGUAUGUUAACAUGUUCAAGAAGUCGUAUUUAUGCACCAGAAGUUCCCUAUUAAUUUUAUGCAUUUAUGGACCUUUUUUUAUUUUUGGGAGUUAUUUAUUAUAAGUUUAGUUACUAGUGACGGGUGAUGGGGUACCGGUUGUAACAACCCGAAAGAUUUGGAUCAAGAAAGGUCUAAAUUGUAACCCUAUUACAAUAAAACCCUGAAAACCAAAAGGGCCUAAGUGCAUGUAUAGAGGUAUAUACACUUUGGAAAUCAUAUUUAUGAUAACCUAUUCAAAGUAAAAAAACUUUAGCAAGUAAAGACAAAAUCAAAUAGUUGAAACAUAAAUCAUGAACUAAUGCCUUGCCUUAUAAUCUUAAGCAUAGGACCCCAUCCAUUUAAUGAUUAGGAAACACCAAGACCGAAAUCACAAUGUAUAGGAAGCUCUAGGACCUAAAUCAACACCAUACAAGCCCACUAAGGCCGAAAACACAUUCUAUGAUCCAUUUAGGGCUAAAAACAACACUUAGUGGGGUGUAGGACCGAAAUCACCAAAGGAAAAAGGUGAUUUUGGUCAUGUAUGGCCGAAAACACACUUUGAUCCCUUUUCCAAAGUGAUUUCGGCUGAAGGAAAUAAAGGAUAAGGCUAGUUGAAUUUAAGAAGCGAUAUUUCACCCAUUCCCCAUGCAAUUUUUAUCCGGAAAACCUCCAAGCUCUUUUCCAUUAUCCAACAGUUUACUAGGUAAGUGUCACCUGAUUCCAUCCUUCUUAUACAACAAUACACAUUCAAAGAAACCCCCACAUUCUUUUUUCUUCACUUUAACUCCAACAUACUCUCAUGAACAAGUCUAAGAUCCUCCAAGAAAUUACUUCCUUCAAGUUAUUCCUAGAAUUUUGUUAAGCUUUCCUUGUGGAUCUGGUGUUUAAUUACACUUUCAUGCUAGUUUCAUAUUAUUUAUACAUAGUAUUAUGUGUUAAAACUCUUAGGGUAUGAUCAUUUUCCAAGAAAUUCAUCAAAAUCACUCAAGAGUUUAGGCUUGGAAACCUUCACACCACCUAUGCAGAUCAACCAACAAAACCAUUGAAGGUGAGUUCAUACCCCCACACUUUCAAGAUUUUUCAUGAUUUAGGGAGGGGGGGGGGAACAAGUAAACCUUUGUUUAUCCCUCAAAUAAUUAUAUAUUUUCAUCUUUAAGUUAAUGAUAAAAUAUUAUUUGCAUAAGUUAUGGUUUAUACUAGUUUUUGGUAUAAAUAUUUGUGAUAUACAUAUUGUUAAAACAAACGUAAUAUAUGUUAUAAAAUCAUAAGAAAAUUUAUGAUUGUAAAACUACAUGGUUUUUGGAAACCUUUUCUAAAAGAUAGCCUUUCUAGCAAAAAUGAUUACAUUAUAGCCAUUUACUAAUUUUGUGGGUUUUAACCCAAAAAUAUUAAGUUUUGAUUUCAUAUUUUGAUACUAGAAAAAAAUACACAUUCAUAUUUAUAUAAAAUAUUAUAUAUAUAGUUUCAAACAAACAAGAUAAACUAUAAUCGGCAUAGUCUGAAAGUCAGAAACCAAACCUUCAUUUUAGAAUUAUAUAUGACUAUUUAAAGAUAUACUUACUUCAUUUACAAGAAAAAGGAGUCAUAGUUCACGUAAAUAUGUUCAUGCUCUUCUGAUACAUUCUCUUCACCGUACCUACCUAGCGUACACCUUAAGUCCUGCAUUAUAAGUUUAGUCUCAUUAAGGGAGAGCGAGGCCGUUGUGUAUAUAUCUACACGGGAUUGACAACCCCAUACCUCAGUUGUUCGCUAUAGUUAGACCAGCAAGUCUAGGGUGACAAAUGUCUAUCAAUUUCGACGUCUCAAGAACGUCGUUCAGGCAUAUCAGUCAUAUCAAGCAUGGUUAUAAUAACUCACAUAGGGAUUAACAAAUCGAAUUGGUUUACAUAGUAACUUAAACUUCAAUAGUUUUAUAAAAAGAUAAAGCUACCUACUAUUUUUAUCACAACAUUACUUAUACAUUUUUCAUCUUAGGGUUUAUACUUAAGAAAAUAUUGGAUUUUCUGGAAAUAUGCAUUAUCAUUUCUACAAGGAAAAUAUACAAAGGAAAUACAUACAUCCACAGUUCGUACUUAAGAAAAUACUGGAUUUUCUGGAAACAUACAUUAUCAUUUUUACAAGGAAAUUAUACAAAGGCAAUACACACAUCUACAGAUUGUACAUAAGAAAAUAUUGAAUUUAAUGGAAACAUAUAUUAUCAUUUUUACAAGGAAAUUAUACAAGGGAAAUACAUACAUUUAUCAUAUUAAAGAAAAUAUUGGAUUUUCUAGUAGUAUACAAAGCGCUUUACAUGAAAACAUUACAAAUCCUUCUCACACAAAAAUGCUUAUGAACUCACCAACUUAAUUGUUGACACUUUUCAAAAUCACUUGUAUUCUCAGGAAAACAGUAGACAUGUGUUCAAUCCUUCUUGAGGGUCGGCGUCGUCGUUUCCGGUUUUCUACUUUUCAAUUAUUUGUAUUCAACUUUUGAACAAACAGAGUUUUGUAAACAAUGUAAUACUUAAAUCUCAAUGUAUGAAUGUUCGUGUUGUGAGACUCUCCAUUAGUCGUACCUACCUAACGUACGUGGUAAGUCUUGUUAGUUAUAACCAGAGUCUCCUGGAGGGAGAGCGAUGUAAUUUUGUAUAGAUCUAUACGGGGUUGACACCCCCACACCUGAGUUGUUCGCUACAGCUAGACUAGGCCAGUCUAGAGUGACAAGUGUUUUAAAUAAACCAACGUCUGAAAAACCUCAAGCCAGACACUUUAGGUCAUUAGUAUGGUUAUAAGGACUCACAUAGGGAUUAACAACACUAUUUUGGUUUACGGGAAGCAUUACUUCGUUAGUUUUAUUAAAAGAAAUGAAACUAUAUUCAAAUGUUUGUACACUAUUCAUUUGUUGGAUUAGUGUCUAAGUCCAUAACUAUUUUGGUAUGUACUUGACCCGAUGGUGCAUGGUCCUUUUGGGUUGCCUUCACCAAAGCAACUUGAUAGGAUGAAUUAUGGAGAGAAAGGAUUAAAUAUGAUUUAUUAAUAUAUUAUGAGAAUAAUAUAUUAAAGGAGAAAUCAUAUUGUUUAAUUAAUAUUAGUCAAUAAUUAAUUGGUAAUUAGUUUUGUGACUAAAAGAGAUUAAUUAAACUUAAGGGACUGGAAUUGUAAUUAUAAGAUAAUUGCAAUUUGGGCCAUGGAUUGCCUUUUAUUAUAAGGUGGACGAAUUCUAUGGGGGAAGCCCAUAGGAAAUCGUCCAAGGCCUUAAGGAAAGGGAUCCAUGGGUUGCUUAGGGCUUAAGCAUCCAAAUUAGGGUUUCCUUGUUAGAUAACCCUAAUAGCCUAACUAUAUAUAGAUCCCUUAUGACCCAAAAACGUGGCUAAGCAUCCUUCUAGGGUUUCACACGUUUUUGGGCAGCCUCCAUCCUCUCUCCUCUUCAUCCUCUUGCUCUUGGUGUUUGUGAACCAUUAGAGGAGUGACAUUUGUGACUCUAAGCUUUCUAAAGUCAAUACAAGGAGAUUUAGGAUUGUUAUUGCUACAUAACAAUCAAGGUAAUAUCUUAAACCCAUUCUUAUGUUAAUAUGAUUACUUGUAUGCUAGAAUUAGGGUUUAUAGUCUUGGAUAACUUGCAUGUACAAUAGAGAAACCUAGAUCCAAGCAUUAGGGUUUGUAUGAGCACAUAGGAUGUUCUUAUGACCAAAACCCAUCAGUGGUAUCAGAGCCUAGAUUGGUUUCUAUUGUAUUGAUGCCUUGUAUGUUGAAAAAAUUCGAUUUUUGUGGUUCUGCAUGAUGGACUCGGCGAGUCCCACUGUGGACUCGGCGAGUUGCCCCCUACUCGGCGAGUCCAUGGGGGUACUCGGCGAGUUCGAGCGUCAGAUGGAGCUAUUUUCGGGAUUUCUUGCUGUUUAUCUUUGAGAUACUUGCCUUUAUCAUAUUAGAUCAAUAUAAAUCCGAUUCUAUGAUAUAUAUGAGUAUAUUCUUGAUCUAAUUGAAGAUAUUUAUCAAUUAAAAAAAUAUUAAUUUCCUUAUGUGAUAAUUGACUAAUUAUUUUGAUUAAAUUGUUAAAUUGUUUUGCAAGAAAUCAUUAAAUAAAUCAAAUAUGGAUAAUUAAGUGAUUAAAUUUUAAUUUAGAUUAUUUGUUAUUUGAUCCUUGUGUUAUGAAAUGUUUCAUAUUUUCCCCUUUAGGUUUUAUAGUUUAAAUUUUAACUCUAAAGUUUUGUUGUUUUGAAAUUUAAAUAGUUGAAACCCUAAUGUUUUGAAAAAGGUUUCAAAACUUGCCCUCAAGUUUUGGAAUUUAAAUUUUGAUUAAUAGUUUAAUUUUGAUGUAUAUUUAAAUUCUAAACCCUAAUGUUUUGAAAUGUUUCAAAACUUGCCCUCAAGUUUUGGAAUUUAAAAGUUGAUUAAAAGUUUAAUUAGGAAUGUUAAAUUCUAAAACCCUAGUAUUGUUUUGAAAAAGUUCAAAUCACACCCUUAUGGUUUUAUUAAUUAAUUAAGGUGUAUAAUUAAAAGAGGUUUAAUAAAUCCAUAAAAGUUUAGGUUUACAAUUUAAUUGAAUUAAAAGUAUAAUUGUUAAAUUUGACCACCUAGUAUUUUAAAAGUGUAAAAUACACCCUAUACUAUAUAUAACAUUAAAAGUCUAACAUUAUAUAUAUGUAUGAGUAAAAGUCAGUCUUACCGUUAGUAGGCCUCAUUCACGAAGCUGGUCUAUAAGGGGUGUUUAAGGAAAUUGCCUAUAAAAUGGCGAUUGAAUGGGUAUCCACUCUUACCCACCGCACUCUUGACUAGUGGAGGGUCGUUAGCCGAACGGGUAUGAUGGAACAAAACCUUCCAUUAUAAGUAUAAUGAAGUAUAAAAGUAACUAAAUGUUUUCAAAUUCCCAAUCUUAGUUACUUAGGAAAAAGUGAAUUGAUGCAAUUCCAUGAAAUUACACUUUGCAUGGUUAUUCACACCCGCUUUGUUAUCCCUUGGUUUACCGGCACACUAAAUGGUUCUAAGCAAAGGUAGCAAAGGGUGACUCAAUGUUUGUCAUAGUUCGGUGGAGCGUGUGUGGUUUACCGGCACAUCGAAUAGGUGACUGUAACAUGUGAGGGCACCAUGUAAGUUUGCAUGGUUAUUCACACCCGCUUUGUGAUCCUCGGCAUCCCAGUCACAAACAAGAGGGGCAUAUCGAGAUUUAAACAUGCCAUUGAAAUGUUCAAUGAAUCUCAAAGGAUCUAGGAGUUUUCAUAGAUUUAAAACUUAAAUUUCUUUUUCGUUUUUCAUGGUGGAAAUUAGUGAAUCGUCAUUCACUUACCUUCAAAUGUUCUGCAAUUUGGGUUACGGCAUCCCUCUCCCGAGUUGUAGAAUAUUGUGUUGGGUCCUAGCCUUAGUAUCUCAUUUGGGUGAUUUACUAAGGACUCAAUCAAUCAACUAACUUGAAUUCGUUUUCUCCCGUUUUGUAGAUGUCAAAGUUCGACAACUAUGGUCUUCCCAAAUCCCGUGGAACAAGCAUUCCACAUGAAGAUGAUAUUCCACGAUUCGAUCGAGGAACAAGAAAUCAUGCUUCACUUCCUCCACCUCCUCCAAUUAUUCUCCCUAACCCACAAGUUCAAAGGCUUGAAAAGUUCAAGAUCACUCAAGCCCUUUUGGCAAGUAAACAUAAAGAAGGAAAGUCGGUGUGUGCACACGUCCUAGGGAUGAAGUCACACAUUGAUAGGUUAAGAAUGUUGGGAUCCGUUGUCUGUGAGGAAAUGGCUGUUGAUUGGGUUCUUCAGUCACUUCCUAACUCAUAUAGUGAGUUCGUAAGAGAGUACUAUAUGAUGAACCACGACGUGACCCUUAUAGAUCUCACCUAUAUGCUUAUUGCUGCUGAAUCAGCAAUGGUUUGGCGCAAUAGAAAAGCAAAGUUGAUUGGUGAAUCUGCCUUCAAGACCUCUAUGGAUAUAGACAAUGGCAACGAAAGACAUGCUAUGAUCGAAAAGUUUGAUCAUAAGAGAAAGGCAAUGUCUGAAGUAGUUCCAUGUCAUGUUCCAAAAGAGUCAAUUUGCUUUUAUUGCCAAGAGAAAGGGCAUUGGAGACGAAGCUGCCCCAUUUACCUAAGAGAUCUAAGAGAUGGGAGAGUCGAAACGUAUGGCUCUAAUAUAGGUAAAAUCCAUUAACUAACUCUUUUAAGCUUCUAUUCUAGAUUCUUAAUACAUAAUGUGAUAAGAUUACAAUUGAUGUUUUGUAGGAUCGAAGAAAAGAAAGGAAGCUUAAGGGAAGAAGUGAGCAGAAUCUAACCGUGAAGGAAUGGAUUUCGAUCGCAUUUCUCGAAGAUUAGAUUCUUGAGCUACUACUUAGAGUUAGAAUUAGAUUGCUAAGAAAGAUGUAUUAGCAUAGUUUUUCAAUGAAUUGCAUUGUAAGGACAAAUUUUUCCGCAAUAAAAUAAAUUUUGAUUUUAAAUUUUAUUUAUUUAUCCUUACAAUGGCGUGUAUGAAAAAUUGAUGUUAAAAUGUUUCUAUUAUUAGCAAUAAUGGAUUUGGUUCUUAUUAUGUUAUUUAUGGAAAGUCGAGAAUUUACCAAAUAGGGAGAGUUUCUCAUCGCCCAAGUUUCAAUUGGACAGAAACUUGGAAUCAUGCAACUUGGUUGCACGAUGAAUGAGAAAUUUCAUAUUUGGAAAUUAGACUAAUUCAUUGACAAAGUGUCAAGUGAAGGACUAGGAGAUCGAGUACACAAAGUUGCGUGUUGAUCAAGUCCACCAUAAGAGUAACAAAGAUAUUCGUCAUGAUUUACUAAAGGUUUAGUAAAUAUGAUUAUACUUAUAAGAUUAAGUGUAAUUCUGAAUUGAUUGAAAAAGUUUAAAUCAAUAGCAGAACGAAUAAGAAGAAUCAAGUAGGCAGAAAGAUAAAAGUUUCUCCAUUCUAAGAAGAAGGGAGAGUACCUUUUAUGCUUUAUGAUAGGUCUUAAUGAUUAAGAACCAUAUCUCAAUUGAUCCUCUAAGUGAGUCUUAGUACAAUUGUAUGUCUAAGAAGAGGAAUCAAGAAUUGAAGAAAUGGUUAAAUCAAGAAGUCAAUCAUACUUCGUUCCAAAACAAGUCUUAGAGUUAAGAUUGUGACAUUGAGUGAUAAGUAUUAAGAAGGUUUAUAACAUUCAUCAAAUGUAGAAUAUGGAAAAAGGUUUUCUUAUUCUUGCACAUUUGAAAUUGGUAAGUUGUGAUGUCUUGGAUAAGACAAAGACCAACUAGGACCAAUUUAUGAAGUAUUUUGAUAAAAGCUACACUAACUCUUGAAUAUUUGUUUGUCAAGAAAUGGUUAUUGACAAGAGAAUCUUAUAUGUCAAGGAUUCAGUGGGAGUCUUAAUGGUCUUGAAAGGUUUCAAGAACAAAUCAAAUAAACCUUAUCGAUCAUCACUAGCACACGAGUUGAGGUUUACAACCUAUCGUGUUGACAUUAUUUCUGUGCCACUCCAAUUAAGUUAAUUAUGCAUGUGAGUUCCAUGAGUUCUCAUUUGAAUGCAUAAAAGGCAAGGACCUUGAUCAAUGAAAAGUACAUCGAUAGGAAAGGGUGAGCUGCUUGACUACUUGGAAGACAUGGUGGGCAACUGUGCUACCAUAAGGCAAGAAAUCAAGGUUAAGAAAGUUUGGUCCAUAUGUGUUUGAAUUUGUCGUGAACUUUGAUUUUGACAAAUUAACAUGGAUAGGAACACAUACACCAUUAAAAUCUAAGUGUCAUAAGAUUCCCUCCUGCAUGAAAAUGACUACGAGGAAAUACUUUCACUAAGAAAGAUUUUAAAAAGAUAGUGAUUGUAAAAUUGCAUUCUCGAAUUCGAUUACGGUUACGGUAUCCCUUUCCAUAAUUUGAAUUGUGAAGUUUGGAAAUUAGUCUUAAUUGUUUAGACACACAUAUGAACUAUCUAAGGCAAAGGUGUAUAUGUUCAAGAAGCCUUGAUAAAAGAUUAUCAAAGCACUAAGCAUUAGAAACAUGAACUUAAGAAAUUCAAUAAGCAUUGUUUUUCUGAAAGUUAAGAUGUUUAUGAAUACAUGUCGAAGCUAGUGG
rnacentral:lncRNA from 1 species